rnacentral:lncRNA from 1 species
UCUAUUUCCAACUCUGCACGUAUCAUCAUGAACUCCCAUGUAUCCUACUGGAUCCAUUGUGGCUGAGACGACCACCUCUCCUCCCUCGAGAAUGUCGGAGACAUCUCGUCGGGCAUCACUAACGAGUUAUUUCUAAAAUGCGCUGAGAGGGUGGAUCACACAGAGGAGACAAGUGGGACAAAUUAGAUAGUUUGACUAUUUUUUUGAUGAAUUUUGUGGCCUUUUGGAUUUGGCUGUUGUAUUUUGAAGUUUAAUGGUUUUCGUAUUUAUUUAUUUUAGAUUUGGACAUGUUUAUUGCAAAGAUUGAAGGUCGAAAAUUGAUUGUGUGAGAGAGCAGUGACUACCAAAGGUGUUGUUGCGGCGAGAUCGUUGGUGGAGGCACAAUAGAGAAGGGGGAUGUAUGGUAUGGUCAUUGCCGGAGGUGGUGGACGCAUCUUCGGUGAUAAAGGCGUCACCGAAAAAGGUGGAGGCAUAGCAAGCGAUGCAAAGAGGGGAAGAAGAAGAACAUGAAUGGUGUAGAGAGUGUACGUUAACAUUAUGCGCAUUACAUUAAUCCAAAGGUGAUAAACAAUGGUGCAUAAUGAACCAUUUAUGAUGGUGGUCCACUUUAGAUUUUGACGGUCAUUACUUGCAUGGAUCACCUUAUAAGUGCUCCAUUAUAGACCAUUAUUACUCGUUUUUAGAUUAAUCAAGACGCAUAGUUUUAAUAUACAUCCUCCCUCACUUAAAAUUGUUAUUGCAAACUUGGAGCAUGUGUUGCACCUGAGGGUGAUACCCAAGGGCACACAGACAAUUAUGAUAUCCUGCAACUGACAUUGAAGGUUUAACAACAAGGUGUGACAUCUAGUUGCAUCUCUCAGGAGCUGAGACAGAGAAAGAGGACCAUUAGUCGUGGAGGCAGAUGAUUUUAUAUAUAUAUAUAUAUAUAUAUAUAUAUAUAUAUAUAUAUAUAUAUAUAUAUAUAUAUAUAUAUAUAUGAUUUUAAUUUUACGUACUUGGUAUUUUUUUUUUGUCGUAUGUAGGGACUUAUUAUUAUUCCAUGUUGUAUGCAUGAAAUAUUUGACAUUUAUCUUGAGCCUGUUCUUAAGUGAAUAAAAUAACACAAGAAAUAAGGUAUAAUUGUUCAUGUGUCAGACAAGCUUUGCCUUGUGCGCCAGAAAAAGAAACGGUCCAGAUUGCAUUGAAUAAAUAAGCAGUUUAGAUUGCACCAAUUUAAAUGAGGGUACUAUUCAUGCAUCACUUCAUCAUUACAAAUUUUGUCUUGUGUGUUAGAAAAAGAAACAGUCCAUAUUUGCACCAACUAAUCAACACUGCAGCUCACACCAAUCCUUAUACGAGCACUGUUCACAUGUUAGAAUACAAUUCUGUUGUGAUUAUUAUACAAAGGAAUCGCAUUUUCGUGAAAAGGGUAUUUUUAGAACAGGAAAAGUUCCAAAAAGUUGUUGGGUGAGAAUAGCAGAAAGGGAGUUGAGAAUAGUGGCUCCCUGAAGGAUACCAAGAUAAGAAAACAAAAGGCAACCCACCCGAGUCUGAAAGCAUAUAUACACUUUCAGAACAAGCAGGGGCUGGGGGAAGGGGGAAGAAGAAAACCCAGAAUCAAAUCAAAAGGUAAAAAAGUAGAAGUAUACGCAGAAGAGGUGGUUCAAGUUCAAUGGCUGAGAAGAAGGAAAUGAUUCCCAAACAAUAUGACAUCGAUGCCAAAUGGGACGCCUGCAUUGAUCUCACCGUCCGUCGCUUCGUCUACUCCGCAUCUGCCGGUGCAUUUGGCGGUCUCCUAUUUUUUAGUCAGUACUUUCUUUCUCUAGUAUUUUUUGUUACUCUUUGUUUUAGUUUUGGCUUUUUCGUCUUAAAUAAAUGUAAAAAAGAGUAUGUGGUGCUUCUGUGCUGAAGAAAAUCCUACAUCCUUUUCUUGUUUCCUACAUAUGAAUUCGCAACAGAUAUUUUUAUUAGAUACUCGGUCUUGCCUAUUAUGUUAAUCCUAGAUGAGAAUGAGUCUCCCAAAUUCCUCGCUAUUGUAUUUGAUUCCAUUCUCACAUUAUUCAGUAAUCAAUUUCUCAUUAUUUUGAAAACCAGAAAACAGAAUAAAGAGAUGUUUUCUCAUCAUCUUCUUCUGUUUUCUUCAUGUUCUCCGUCCAAAUGCUCAAGGAACAAACUUUUAGGGAACAUAAUAUGCUCAGGCUCGACUUGUAAACUCAUAAUAGUUUGCCUAAUACAAAAAUAAAUAUUUAAAACGCCUAUCAUAAUGUCCUAGGGCAAUGACCUCUGGCUUGACCAGAGGAGAUUCUGACGAGAUCAUUGAUGUUUUGGUGUGUUCUGUUUUGGUUUUUAGCCGAGUCUAAUUUUUGUGUGAACAUCAGUAAAUUCUGGGUUGGGCAAUAAAUAGUUUGCUCUUAUUUUUCUUCUUUAUGCUGGCUGCCCUUGGACCAAGUUGCUCCUCUUUUAGGUGAUAGCUUUUGGUUAUGAUGGAUUGUGUGUGUUAUUUCACUUAUUUGUCUUAGGCCUUGGCUUGUGGGACAGUAUUGGAAUAUAUUUAUUAUAUCUUUAGAUUAUCUUCGAAUAUCUUUUGAGUAUGUUGCAAAAUCAGUUAGUCACCUAAUUGAGCUAGCAACUUUAGAGUUGUUUACUGAUUUUUUUGGCUUUGUUUGGUUUGAGAAAUGUUUUCUGUUUUUACUUUGUAUAGGAAAAAGUGAAAAUGGAAAAUAAAAAUAGAAAACAAAAAAAGGUGUUUUUACUAUUUCCUAUACAAACUUUUGAAAACAGGAAACAUUUUUUUUUCAAACCAAAUGACUCCUUAUAUUUCUUGAUUUUGUUUCCUUAUUUUAUUUUAUUUGAUUACUUGGUCUCUUCCUUAGUUGACCUGGGAUUGUGCUAGUGCUACUAGUAUUUAUCUAAUUAUUAGUAUAAAUAGGAGUAUUACGUAAGGGUAAUGUAUACAUUACAUCCUAUCAAGAAAAUAUUCACUAGUAUUAUUGUUUGACAUCUUUCUCUUGUUUCCUUCUUCCCUAACCCUAAACCUAUACUUCUUUUGUUAGAAUUAUACUUCACUUGAUUAGUUGCAAACUUUGAGGUGCAAACCACUCAGUAUCAAUGUUUUGUUUACAUAGUCUAUCAUACUCUAUCAACUAGCAUAUUAAUGGAGCUUCUACAAAAUAGCAUUUUUUUGGCUUAAAUGUUUUCAAGGUCCCUACAAAUAUAGUGAUAUUUUUGGUCCUUUCAAUGUUCUUUUUCAUGGUUUUUGAUUGUUGUAAUGUCCGUUGCCACUUGUUUUGGUUCCUGCCAUGAACUUGCCAUAGCAACAUGUUUCAUGUGCCUGCAAAUAUAGCAAUUUUGUAUCUACGUUCUUGCAAAAUAUAACAAUUUUUGGUCUCUGUCCCAAAAAAUAUUGUGGUUUUUGUUUUUCGUCCAUGCCAUUACAUCCCUGCAAAAUAUAGUGGUUUCUGUUUUUAUUCUGCUGUGAUGACAAGGACUUAAAAAAAGUUAUGAUGAACAUUGCAAGGAUCAAAAACCAAUUUUUUUUACAGGGGCUAAAAAACAAAAGAUACUAUAUUUGCAUGAAUGAAUAACAUAUUUAAGCCUUUUUCUCUUAAUUUUAGUAUGAUGAUAAUAUUGCUUGAUAACUUUAAUGCUUUACCAUGGUUUUGCACAUGCAGAUUUGGAUGAAAACUGUUUAACUAAAUUUUCUGCAAUCCUGUGCAUUUUUUUUCCUUUUAGUAUAUCUUUUUGCGUGCAUUGAGAAAAUAAAUUUUGAAACUCUUAUUUGUCUUGCUAAAUUGAACUUAUGCUGUUGCAUAGUACUGCCUGUCUGCCUCUAAGCCAGUUAUGGUUGCACUGAAGGCCAAUGUCAGUUUGAAAAAAAGAAUAUAUGGUUAGUGUGCAGCCACUUGAAUUACCCCGUGAAGGCAUUUAAGCCGAGGAUUACUGUUCAAUUUUCUAAGUAUGUGUUCAAUGAUUAUCACCUAUUUUUGCAAAGUUCACUGAGCAUACAUUUAUGAGUCUAUGAGAUAUAAGCCAAUUUGUUGGGUGAGUGUCAUGAUUAGCCUUGUCAUUAAUAGUCUAAUCUUCAUUUGAAAAUUUGGUAUUUAUAAUCAAUUUAAGCUACUGAUUCUGUUUAUAUUAUAAAAUGCAAGGCUUAGUUAUUUAUAUAUGUUGGUGGUUUAGAUUGGUGUUUAUUAUAUCUUUUAUUAUACAAUAAAAUCAUCCUGUAAGUAUUAUAUGCCUUUACGCCCUCCCUACCCCUGAAUAUAAUGGGCUACUUUUGCAUUGCAUUGAAUGACAACUAGGGAGUCCUGUUACUCGAUGGGCAUCUAUUGCUUUUGGCGCUGGAGUUGGAAUUGGAUCUGCAUAUGCAGAAUGUUCUCGUCUGUUUGAUGGACCUCCAACAAAUUUACCCCUACCUAAGGUCUCUGAAACUGCUACUCAGGUAGGAUUUAUCUUUUAUUUUCUUGUUUAUAUACUCCCUCCAUCCCUAAUUAUAAGACAUUUUUAACUAAUUCACACAUAUUAAGAAAGUUGGUUAAUUUAGUAAUUAACAUUAAUUUUUUUAAUUGUAAUAUAUAUAUAUAUAUAUAUAUAUAUAUAUAUAUAUAUAUUCAAAACUAUCCUUAAAUAAUUAAUGUAUGGAGAGAAAAUAAUAGUAGUGGAGUUUUAAUUUUAAAACUGAACUCGUUAAUUCUCCAAUCCUCAUAAGAGAGAGAAAGAGACAAACAUUUAUUAUUGUUGGACUAAAAUAAUUAAGGGUAUUUUGGUCAAAAAAUAAUUGAUGCAAGGGACAAUUAGAAAAGAGUCUUAUAAAAAGGGACAAGGAAAUUUCAAAACAAAGUCUUAUAUUCAGGAACAGAGGGAGUAUAACGCUAGGAUCCAAUUGCAAGGUAUGGGACUUUAGUCCCACAUUGGAAGUAUGGGAUUGUGGCAUUUUUAAGGCUUUGGGCUCUCCAAUGGUUAGCAUAUGCCUAUGGUGUGGUUCUCCUAAGGUUCUUAUCAUAUAAUCAUUUGGCAUGAUUGUCUAAAGCAUAUGUCAUAUGUCAAAAGCUAUUAGUUGGCAGAGUUAGUGUCAAGAUUUAACAUACUGGAAAUGGAACAAAGCUAUAAAUCAUGGACAAUGGCAGUGAUAUAGUGCCAUUUCAUCGAGUCAUACUGCAGCAGGUGAUAGCUAUAGGUUCUCAUUUGCAUCAUAGUAGUCAAUCUAAAAUAAGGGCGUGGAGCAGCCCAAAAAUGCUAUAUUGCAUGACUAUUAUGAUUUGCAUCUUGGUUAAGGUCGCGACUAUCACACUCAAAAUUGUGGCCACUAUAACAGAAAAAUGUAGCUGUCGCAGGCACUGUUGUGAACAAGGGUUGAAAAUCUACAUUUACCCUUGACUUUUUGAGGGAGAUAUAAGAUGGGCUGGAUGAUUAAUGGAGAAGGGAAGGAGGGGAAGGUCGCGGGUUUGAUCCCUCCUACUAACAAAACUAACAUUCUAACAACUAACAUUUGCAAAUAAAAAAAUAAAAAAAAAAACUUGACUUAUGAGUUCUCAUUUUUUGUUGUUGAUAGUCUCACGAUUUCUAGUGAGUCUUUUGCUUUAGAAACAUCAUUGGAUUUGAAACUGUUCCCCAAUCAUUCAGGAAAAAUGCUACUUCUGUUUUGAACUCUGUUAUCUGACCCAAUGACCCACCCCUCUACUAGUCGGCAUCUGUUUCUGGCCCACCCGUGUACCCAGCCAUUGACCCAUUGCUUAUAGGUCUGUGUUCUUCCUUUGGUCUUCGCUCACCCAUCAGAUCUUAGUGUUUGUUUACACGUAACUGCUCACAAAUGUUUGUUCUUUUUAUCUAUGGCAAAUGCUAACCAGUGCACUGGUUAAGGGGAAGUAAAAGGGUGGUUUUUAUUGGUUAGCUGCUAUGUGUUGCUAUCAGGAUUGAUAACUAUGAAUAUGAAAUUGAUAAUGGUAAAAAUGAGAGAAUAAAUUUACGAUGGGAGAAAGUUUGUAGGCAAGGUUGUUGUGAUCAAAGAAACAGGUUGUUUGUGUGUUUUACAUGUGGAAGUGAAGUAGUCUAAAUUGGCUCAUUAGCCUUUAGAACUUGGAUAUUUGAAAUUUAUGACACACUCGUAUAAUAACAUUGUCAUCCCUUUCGAGGGUCAACAUUGAGCUACUAUCUUUAUACCUUGAUAUUGGAUGUGAGACUGAGUAUAUGUAUAUCCAAGAACUAGUGCCUUGAUGCAGUGAUGCUCACUUUUGCAAAUGAUAUGUCCUAGUUGAAGGGUUGAGAGGAAAUACUCGAGCACUUAGAGAUAUGGAGACAGGUUCUGGAAGCACAUGACUCUCGUUUAAGUAGAAAUCAGACAGUGUGUGUGAAAUGUAAGUUUAGUAAGAGGCGAACCAAUUGAAGACAUGCAUCAGCAUUACCACUCAUGCAAUUGAAGUAUCUUGGAUCCAUCAUACAAGAUGACCUAAAUAAAAGGGAAUGUAAAUGGCAUAUUAAAUAAAAUGGAAUAUAAAUCACAUGAUUCAAGCAGGUUGAAUAAAAUGGAAAAUUUCCUUGAGUGUCAUUUGUAACAAAAAAGGUAUCACUCAAGUUUAAGAGCACAUUUUACUCUACAGCUAUAAACUUAUGAUAUUGUACGAAACUAAGUUUUUUUAAGAUAAUAAACUCAACAUGAUAAAGAAAAGAAUGUUGUGUGGGAUAAGUGGGCAUACUAGACAAGAUAGGAGUAGGAAUGAAUACAUUGGAGAGAAUGUUGUGGUAGCACCUAUUGUACAAAUAAUGGUAGAAUCUCACCUUAAGUGUUUUCAGCAUGUAUGAAGACCAGUAGAAACCAAAGUAGUAGAUAUAAUGCCGGAUGUGAAGGGAGAUUAAGAAAAACUAUAAGCCACAUUAUUAAGGAUUGAGGUCAAUCGUUUGUGUAUGAACAUAAUUUAUAAUAAAACACUGUGGCAUCAUUUGAUCUAUAUAGCCAACGCUACCUAAUGGGUAAAAGCAUGGUUGUUUUUUAAUUUUUGUAUGGCAUGGCAGCUGAAAAUGUCUAUUAUUUGAUUAAAUAUUGAUUGAAAAACUAAAUUGCUACAAGUUAGGAUGAUUUAGGAAGUUUAAGUAUUUAACUGCUAUCUUUCUUUGAGAAGAUAUUCUUAUAUACUUAGCAUAUUACUCUCAGCAGUUCUUAUCAUAUAUAUUAUAAAUUUUAGUCCAAUUGCAUGUAAUCGUGUUCAGUGCCAUCUGUUUGUUUUUGGAUUAUUUGAUUGGUAAGUAUAGUAUUUUCAAGGUAUGUAGGAAUUUCUCUGUAUUGGAAGGGUGUACCUGGAACUUUCAUUAAGUUGAAAGGGUGUCUUUGCGUUUAAAUGGAAGAGGAAUGGAAUUAUCUUUUGUGAUGGUAAUUAAUAGGAACAUAAAUUGCGUUGGCAUACGGCCAGUGAAAUAAAAUAGUUGAGUGUGUUCUUGCAUGUAAUCGGAGAUUCCCCGGCCAAGAGGUUGGGCACCAGUUUGUUAGUUUUGCUGGCAAAAUAUGUAUUUAAAGAAUUGGAUUGGAACAUAAUUAACGUAUUUCUUGCUUUUGUUUCCAGAAUGUGCCGGAUUCUGAGUAGAAGCUACAACGGAUCCUGGUUCCUGGUUCCUGGACAGUGGUGAAUCAGAAUUUUCUUUUGAUUGUUGAUGGUUCCAUACAGCAUUAUUGCUCUUCAAAAUGUUGCACUACCAUAAUUUCGUAAAUGAACAUGACGUAUAUUUUAUUCCCAAGCUUUUACGCUUUUGAUCUCCUGUGAUCUUACGCAAUGUUUAUGUUGAGAAGGAUUGGAAAAGCCAAGGAACCUUUCUUCAGUUGCGAUUUUGUAUUCGCUCUACUUUGAAUCCGAUUUAAGUAUAUUCUAAAAUCGGAUUGGUGAGUUAACUGACAAUUUUCAGGCAAUGAUUCAAUCAGUUUAAUUGGUUAAAUCAAAUUAUUCAACGAGAUGUAUUAAUAAUUAAUGUAAGAUAUUAAUAAAUUUAAUGACAGAUUAUAAUUCACUGAGAACAUUAUUAUCAUUUGAGAUAAAUUUGUUGAAUUUUAUAAUAAUUAAAUUAAAAUCAUAUUUAUAUUUAUGAUGAUUUCUAAUUGGUUGAAAAGUAAAUAAACAUCAUCAUUUUUCAAGGUAAGUUGCCUUGACGAUGUCAAGGAGUAGAUAAUACUUUGAAAUGGGUAUCUUUUGGUCAAGGCUACCUAAUUAUAAGCAAUUGUCAUGUCAUGUAUAGGUUAAUAAUAUGCAUUUAAUUGGAAAUUUUUAAAAUUACAAUGGCUUGGUUAAUCGUUUAUUAAAUGAUAAUAACCAAAUUAAAGUUUUAAUCAAAUUAUAAAGAUUUACAGAUUAAUUUAAUUAGAAAUAUUUGUUAAAUCAUUUUUAUAAAAUAAUUAAAUUUCUAGUGACCUAAACUAAAAGUAUCUUUAAUGAAGCAACCUUAAAUGGCAUUCACUUGAAAUCUAAAUGUUACUGAACAAAAAAACACUAAACGCAAAAGUAACUACAUGUAACAGUUGGCUGAUUUUAAUGGUAUUCAAACUAAUUAGCCUCAUAAAUUUCAGGUUUAAAAUCUUAUGCUGUGUUGGUCCAAGUAAGGAAUGUAAUUUCUCAUAAGCCAGAUCUCAUAACAAGUAUUGUAAAUGAAAAAAAUAGGUGUUAGAAAGAUCUUUAUCCUCUUAAAUGGGUUCAAUCACCUAAAAUUUAAGAUCAAUGUAGCUUCCAUAUGUUUAGCUUGUCAAACCAAAAUAGCCUAUUUCUAUGGACCCAAAAGACCAUUUUGAGUCAUAUGCUCCUAAUUUCAACUAUAAUGCAUCAUAAGUAAAGGCUCUAGAAUUAUGAUAGUACAUGGGAAUUCCCUUGACCGAAACGACAAUGUAUUCAAAAUGUUGACAGGUCACUAUUGACGUGUUAAGACGGAAGUGAUGUAUAUAUACAACACAAUACAUAUAAGUUUAUACAACCAAAUGAUCAUAUAGCCAGCCUCUCAUAAUAACGUAGGCUUGUUCAGGAGAUCAGGCCGGUGGGCAAAUCCGUGACCUCUACCUGGGAAUAUCACUACUUUGGAGCCCCUACGAAUUUUUUUCUGAACAUUCUCAAUUUCACUUACCUUGCAAAGUGGGUCAUUGUCCCCUAAAAUGAACAAGACAGGAGCUUUUAUAUCAGAAGCAGCAAGGGGAUCCAUCCUUGUACCACAAAAGGAGAUUCCAGUGCCAAAACAAGCACCUUGGUCUUUGGCCAGCACCUUUAACACUUGGCCACCUCCAAAGCAGAAGCCAAUAAUGCCAAGUUUCUUGGAAAUUCCUACAGCCAUAAAUUCAUCAACCAGCCAUUUUGUCCAUCUGGUAAUGUCUUCUGCUAUCCUCUCUGGGUUUUGUCUAGCAAUCCACUGUUCAAACACAUCUGGCUGGUCCUUUGUCCACGGACAUCCACGAAAUAAGUCUGGAACUAGAAUGCUGCAUAUUUGUUUAGAAGCAAUUUCACUGACAAGGGUAUUAUAACGACAAAACAGCCAUUAUACAAUUUGCAUUGUGAAUCUUAAUACUUUGUUGAUAAAUAGGAAUGGAGUUGGAACAUACUUGUAACCAUUGCAAGCUACCCGAUAUGCAAUAUCUCUAGUGAAAGAAUCCUCAAACCCGAAAACAUCUGAAAGAAGCAAUUGGCCGGUUCCAUUGCAUUUUUGACUGCCUUGAACAGAUAAUCACGGAUAUCUUCAUCACCCUCCACAAGAGAAAGCUCCACUCCACUGACUAAUUCGCAUGCUUCAUCAUCUAUCCCACCUUCCACAUUCAGUAAGCUGCAUGAUAUUUUUGAGUCUGCGGCAUCUUGAACUGGUUUUUGAAGAUUGAAAUUGCUCUUUUCUGAAAACAUGCUGAAGAAUUGCAUUCAACAAGAGGCUAUCAAGUAUGUGAUGCAAUUCAGGAAUUUUGAGUUACUAUUCAAAAAUAAAAAGGAACACAGUUGGAUCUUAAUGGCAGGAUUUGGGGUCCAAUGUAGGAUCCAACCACUCAAUGCAUGCUUGAAGAGAAAGAAAAAAAAAGGCAGUGCCGUGUCUAAUAGAUUAAUUCAAGCAUCCAAGUAACAUUAUAAUAUUAUAUGUCAUUUGUCAAAGCAAUGAAAACAAUGUAAACAAAUGUGUGAAAUAAGAGAUAAAAGAGAAUUUUCUGGAAUGGCUUGAGUGAGAGACUCACCCAACAAAUUUUUAAUUUAUAGGCAUGAGGAUUACAAGAUAAUAAAUUACAGUGUGAAGGCUGACAUGAUUUUACAAUCAAGAGAAUUUUGGUACCAACCAAAGGCACUGUAAGAGAACAAAUUUUGAAACAGUUUCAUGGUUCACUUUAGAAUGUUCAUGCUGGAUUUCUAAAAGUCUUUUUAAGAAUAUAGCCUUUUUAUUUCAUUUUCCUGGCUUGGGGAAGGAUAUCCAUCAGUUUGAGUCUCUCAGUUACAUAUGGAAACUGGCUAAGCUCCAACCAUUGGAAAUAAAACUGUAAACAAAUUAUCAUUUCAAUAAGUAAUAACAAAAAGAAGUAAGAGAGGAGAAACAGAGCUUAGGAGGAAAUGGCACUGAUGGCGGAGAUCGAGGCUUUGAGAUGGCACAAACACAAACUGAUCCUACGCUUGCCCUUGCUGUUUCUUAAUAUCUGCUUCCACUUAACUCUAGCCUGGUAAAGGAAUACACACAAAUGCUUGGUUUCCAAGGUAGAGGUGGAUAUUUCAUAUUCGGUUCUAUCCUUUACAUUACCGUUUUCCAAAUCAAUUAAUACUACAUUAUUAUUUAUGUAUGCUAAGAGGGAAAUGUAAAGUAGAGGUAAACAAUGGGUCCAACUCAAAUAGGGAAUGGAAACUCGGUAUGAGAAGCACUAGAAAGAAAAAAUAGAACACGAGUCAAAUCAUAAAUUAAAGAAAUAUGAAUAAAUAUCUAUUUUACAACAUGAAUAAAUUAAAUAAUCUAUGUGCGGCAUCUCAUCACAAACUGAUUCUUUUUUACUGGAUGGUGAUAUAAAUUCAGUUAUGAAGAUGGUUUUUAUUUGAUUAAUGGUCUAAAAAAUUUUAUAUUAGUAAUACAUGUCUAUUAUAUUCAAAAAUAUAUAUUUUGUCUUUCACCUUUUUUACAUGCCAACAUGUCAUGGUUAUCAAUUUUGAUGGUCAUCUAUUAUGCUUUUUCUUAUGGAUGGUAUUAUGGUACAAUCAAAAGGAAAUGCAAGCUGUGAAAUAUGUCUCUCCAAGUAUAAACUUCUAUCAUUCAUCUUUUUUUCUUUUGGUUUUACAUUAUGGCAUAACGUUCCUUUCUUAUAUUUUAAUAAGUUAUAUCAAACUUGCAUUGCCAAUCAAUAUUUUGUUCUUCCAUUGUAGUUUAUAAAUACAGAUUGAAACUUUGAAAGAACAAGAACAAUUCUACGAAAAAACGAAGCGUUAAACUAAGUUCUCUUCUGAUAAUUGCAUUUUUAAUUUCAUUUAAAUGAUUAUUUUGAAGACACUUAUACUUAUAAUCCAAUUCUUAGACUAUUUAAUUGCUAUUUUGAUAGUCCAGUUGUAAAUAAAUACAAUUUUCUUAGGUUAGUUGUUUUUAAUCAAGUUUAUGCUAAUUUAGGUUAAAUUUGGAUUUCGUGAUCAUAAUGAAGUGAUGAUGGAUGAAGGAGCAUGAAGGAAAGGUCAAUAUUCUAGCAUCUGGUUGUGGAUAAGCAAAUGAUGCUUAACCCUGAAAUUGUUGGCACUUAAGUGCCACAAGCAAAAGUUUAGUGGAGAGGAAAAGCAUAUGGCGCUUAAGCGCUACGUUCCCUGCGCUUAACCGUCAGUUUGCAUGUGAUGACUUAAUUUGGCCCAUGUUGUACCCUAUUUAAGGGAUUUUCGUGCUGGUGCUUUGCACUUUUUCGUUCUACAUAAUUCCCAAACCUUUUUGCUCUGUAAUAACUAUGAUGGUGACCUAUAAAGCUCUCUCGUGACUCCUCUCUUCAAUUCUUCAUUUCUCCAUGGAAUUUCUGCAACUUAAUGGCUAGGAGUAGCUAAAUCUAGAGUUGUUUGGGCUUAGAUCUAGUGAGACCCACUCAUGUAUUGCUUGUAAACCCUAACUCUAUCUUCAUUUAAUAUAUUGUUUUUCUACUUCCAUGCUUUAGUUACUCUAUGGCUUGAUCACCAAUGAUAUGUGUUAAGUUGAUUUGUGGUUGGAAAACUAUUUUAGCUCUUGAACUGAAGUGGAAUUGUCAUUGAAUUCAGACCUAGGAAUGAGUAUACAUCUAAUGACCUCCUUAUAUGCUUAUGAUUAAUGCAAAUUCUUCUACUAACAUCUCCUAAGGGAUUAGGGGUUUAGUGGUGGAAUUUGAUCUCAAUUGUCUAAGGAAUUAGAAAUUGAUGAACUAUUGUGCAUGGAGAUAUAUUGAACGAGUGCAUGGGUUGGUGUUGACUUUAUUAUUGUUAUGAUACAUGAGGAAUGAUGUCUCAUGAAGUCCAACCAUAACAAUGUUUCCCUUGUCAUUUGUAAUCAACUUUACUGUAUGCUACAUGUUCGAUAAAAAGCAUAAACAAUUUUCUUCUUUUGAUUACAUUAAAUUUUUCUGUUAUUGAAUAAGGAUAGAAUAGUGUUAGUUUUAAUCAAACUAUCUUUAAAAACUUAAUUCUUUAUUCAUUAAUCUUAGUUGACAAAUUGUGAAUAAGUGUUUGAUAUCAUGUGAAUACUUUGGAAAAAUGAUACUUGAACUUUCCAUUUUAUACUACUUGUGUGAUUUUGUUCACUUGUCAAAUAUUACUAACAUCUUCUUUGAACGAUUAUCUUUGAGUGUUAAAGUUUGAUCAUUUGCUUAGCAAAAAAAUUUGUAUUCAUGUUGUAAUUGCUUAUUUUUUUGUGAGUAAAUUUCUAUGAAAAUUUUUAAACUUUGUUAGUUGAAAAGUCAAGAAUGACUUAGUGAACAAAGAAUGUUUAGAUUUUUAACAAUCUCGGAGAGAGAGGGGGUAGAGAAUACUUAUUAUAACCAAAAGUGACAAUGAUAACAUACUUGUUAUAACAAAUUAUUGAUUAGUUGUACCUUUCUAAAGUUGAAAAAGAACUAGACGCAAUUCAAGAUUAGGUGAAUUGGUAUAAAAACAAGUGUUCUUGCUUAUGUUCUUGUGUGUUUUUCAUUGUUUUCUUACAUAAACAUAUUUGGACAGACAAGCUUUUGAAAAUCUUGUUUUUGGAAAAACUUUCUUAUGUAUAUACAUCAUUGGAAAACAUCUUUACAAACUCAUUAUCUAAACUUAUACUUCAUCAUUUUUUUUAUAAAAAAAAAUAAGUUCUCAUUAACACAUUAUUCAAACUCCCUUUUAGUGUAUUUCAUUUAUUUAAGUAUGUCCAUACAAACAUCACCUAUUUCAUAUAAGGUGAAGUCCCUUCUUAUCUACAUGGAACCACUGAAUCAAACUCUUCCCACUAUUGGAUAAUGUAGGUCUAUCUUAACACAAACUAUUAUAAAGUUGUCUCUCGAUACAUCAACAAUCCUAAUGUCCCAUCUUAACUAGUCUAUGAAUUAUUGUCGUCAAUGCUAAUACUAAGCUUUCCUUCAUACCUAAACUGGGAUAUUGCAACCAAACCAACUUAGUUUCUAUUUUAAAUUUCAGAGACACAAAGUUAGAAACUCAAUUUUAAACAAUAAGGUAGUGAUCAAUGAUUAUCCAAAGACCUCUCCUAAUCACAUUUUCUUGAUCUUGUAAAAGCUCGAACUUCACCUUGUAAAAACUAGAACUGUCAAAAUAGGUCAACCCGAUACUAAAAACAAGUGACAAAGAAUGUUUGAAUUUGAAAAGAGUUGUAUGAAAGUUAUGUUAUUUGUUACUUGUUCUAUAUUUAUUUAACUUGUGAUGAUAACAUUCAAAGAGUAUUUGUGAUAAUAUAAUGUAAUGUAAUAUUUUUUGUGAUUAUGAUAUUAUGUUUAAAUUAUUUAUAUUUAUUUAUUUAAUGGAUGGAUUUAUGAGUAAUUUAUUUAUUAUUUUUUUAGAAUAAAAAGUUUAAUUUAGAACCCAUCAGAUUAAAUUUGUUAUUGGCAAGCAACAAGAGAGAUUACUUAUCUUUAAGCCGCCAGCGCAGUUUUAGAUCACACAGUAAGUUUUGGCUAACGUGCGCGAGUGCUGUAUAGUCUUUUCCAGGCUCCACACAAUUUGGUUAAAAUAAGCAUAUUCUCUCUCUUUCUUUCCAAAGCGUCGUUUUCAUAAUCGUAGUGUCUUUCUUCCUUCUCCCUUUGUGAUCGCCUUCUGUUGUUGCUCCACUCACUAUCUUCUUCUUCUAAAAUUAUUUUCCUUUUCUAUCCUUCUAUCUAUCAUUCUUUUACGCUAAAAAUCUUCUCGCUUCUUAGCUUAGCUGUUCUGUUCCAGAAACGAUAAAAUCAAUCAAUCAAAGGAAGCAAAAAAGUCAGAAUGGAUCUGUGUGCUGUUCAUGCGAAGAACCUUUUCCACACAAAUUCGUUUUGCCACAGACCCAUUUCCUCCCAUUUGGGAAGGACCAGAGUGUUUGAGAUCACUGUUUCGAGGAGAAAGCCUUACUCUAAAGUUGGGUAUCGCCCAUUUGUUGUCAGCGCCACGGGGAAGAAGAAUCAUGGCAACUCCUCUUCUUCUGGUCUGUAAUUUCCUUUCAUUUCAGAUUUCCAUUUAAAUAAUCAAUAACUGCUUGUUUUGGCCUUGGAACUUUCUUUCACUCGUCUUAUUUGUCUGUCUGCGAUCACAAUUACAUUAAAGAAACGGUACAUGACAUGCAUGUGAUUUGCAUUAGGUUUUCUUUGGGUGUUAGGGUUUCGAGGAGAAGGAAAGGUUUGCCAAAUUUGCUUCUUUUUUUUUAAUAAACUAAUGCGUUAACUGUAUGUUUAUUUUUAUAUAACUCUUAAUUUAAAAAUAAAAUAUUUGGUCUCCUUUCCUUAAUUUGAUUUUCUCCAGCUCAACCCCAAGUAAUUCCAUGUAAUCCCUCCUUUCUUACUAAUAAUAACUUUACCUUGGCUGCCCAAGUUCCCAGUUAUUUAUUUGGGGAUCUUUGUCCGUUCCGCUUUUCAUCCCUCCCUUUGACCUGGAAAUUCAUUGAAUCUAGCUUAUUACUGUGCUUCCCUUCUACAGAUCAUAAUUGAAUUCUAAACAUAGCUUUAUCAUUAGGAUUUAAUAGUUCAUUGUUCACUUUCCAUUUUGUCAACUCUGUUUUUCUGAAAUCUCUUUCAAUCUUUAACAAAUAAAAAAAAUGAUCAGUUUUAAAAUUGCCAACUUGGGUGUUAUAUUAUGCUUUUAUAAUAUGUACUACAAGUGAAUAGUUUUGCAAUCGCGUCACUUAAAUCUUGUGUUCUUUCUUACAAACUUGAUACAUAUUUGUAAUGUGAGAAAACAUUUCAUGAUAACUACAUUAAAAUAAUCAGUGAUUUACAUUUGUUUGUAGGUGGACAUGUUUGGGUGAUAAAAUUACCUCUUUCAUAUGAGGCAUUUCUGAAGUAUGGACAGUAUGGAGUUCUAAAUGUGAUAGUUUCUUAACUUAGUGCUAUGUGUGCUACUGGAUUUAAUACGCUGGCUAUGUAAAUGAUUUUUAUACUAUCAUCCUAUCAUAGAUUGUCAUGUAUGGUAAGAUUGUUGACUUUUGUAAUUACCACUUUAAAAGUCAUACCCAUGAUGAUUUCUAAUUGGUUGACAGUAUAAAAAUCUUUACACAUUCUUAUGCUACUUUCUUUCUUAGGGACCUAGGAUAUAUUUUGUUUCUCUAAAUUUGCUUUCUCUUCUUUCUGUUUGGGAAGGGUAGAAGUGAGGCCAAAUGUUUUUGUUAUCAAAUUGGUUGGUGUUAUUUAUUUUUCUUACAAUAUUUGUCACGAAAGGAAGUAAUAUUAUUUAUUGCUUCCCUCUCCUUGCUGCGAUAAUAUUUUAACUUGGACCUUCAUUCUACAUUAGCAAUUUCAGGUCAAAGUAAUAAUUUCUAUUAAAAUGAAGCUGUUUACUCACGUACAGAUUGGGGGGGUUUCCUGUAUAAUCAACAGUUCCCUUGCUUGUUUAAAUUAUUUGAUUUGAUAGACAUACUUUUCUGUUAUCCACUAAUCAGCCAUACAUCACCUAUCUCACAGCAUUGAACAAUGCUUUCCUUAAUUUUUUAGUUUACUCCUUUACAUGAUUAAAUUUUAGAUCACUCUACCUUAUGCAUCAGAACUGUAGAAAUGGGUGUUUUUUUACAACUAAUGCAUGAAGAUAGGGAUACAUAGUUUCUUUGAUGUUUUCUGCCUUAUGGCAUCUAAAAGAUCUAGUUGCCUAUUCUUGAUGGCCUCUAUAUUGUUGAGGAACCUGUUAUUUUUUAUGUAUAAAAUGCAAAUUUAAGUUUGCACACAUGCUUGAAUAGCCAGAAUUUGGAAACUUUUUUAGAAUUAAGAACAGGUACAUCAUUCCACUAUUUAAGGUUGUGUUAUCUGUUAUUUAUAUGAUUUAGACGACAUAUGUUGAUUGUCAUUGUUCACUCUCUCUUCAUGUGGAUUUUUAUUUUUCUGACAUGAUAUAAAUUACACCUAAAGAGCCAUUGUCUAGCUUUUCUAUGAGAUAGGCUUAGUAAUUCUGUCUGGUGAAAACUAGUGGGUCUUUUAUUGUACUGUUCUUGAUGCUUCUUGAGUAUAGAGUUUUUGGAGACAACUUGGUAGAAAUAUAUCAUAGACAAAAAGGAUGAGAUUUUGGAUUGAUAACUCAGAUAAGUAUUGACAUUAUAAUGAAAAUCAUAUUAUUCCUUUUCAUUUUAUUGUUUUCUCUUGAUAAUAAUAUAAUUUUACAUGAGUUCCUUUUUUAUAUGGGUAUAUUGAUCAUUACAGGCAAUGAAGAACGGUCCAUUCCCGAAGGAGAUGGUACUAGAGGGAACAAUUCUUCUGAUGGCAACAAAUCAGAAAACAACUCUGAGAAAUGCCACCAUACUAAUCUGGAUUGGCGCGAGUUCAGGGCAAAGCUAUAUAGAGAUGAGCUGGUGAUGCUUUCAUUCCUAAAUGGGAUCUAUAUCUGUCAUCUUCUCUUAAUUGCUCUGUAGCUCUUGCAUGUCAUUUUAAGUAGAAGGGGUCAACUUCAUGAAUCUUGAAAUAAGUUUUAAAACAUCUAUUAGAGUAAUUCCUGUGCUUUGUUACAGUCAUAUAAGCAUGCUUGAUAGUUGGAGAAUCGUCUCCUCUUGAUGGAUUUGUCAUCAAUCUAGGACACUUGAUUGAGUCAGACAACUUGCCUACACCUGUUCUGUUAACCUGUUUAAUGAUUUAUAUUGGUGACCAGGUUUUAAGCCCUACAGGGUUGAUUAAUUUCCUUUUAUUAGUAUUGCACUUUCUGUAUUCUGUGACUUUUUGAUACUUGUAAUACUUCUAAUUAUUGAUGUGGAGGCAUUCAUUUAUGAUUGUGCAUAUCUAAGCAAUACAGUAAUUUACUGAAACAUUAUAUUUUCAUUAACCGAGUUUUCUUCACUUCAUUUACAGAAAGAAAUAUCAGAUGCUGACAUGCACAAUCAAGGUGGAACAUUGCCCAAUUCCAAACCUCUUGGAACACAGUGGGCUCAUCCUAUUCCAGUACCUGAGGCUGGUUGCGUACUUGUGGCUACCGAAAAGCUUGAUGGCAUUCGCACCUUUGAAAGAACUGUUAUUCUCCUUCUCAGAUCUGGAACUAGACAUCAUCAAGGAGGGCCUUUUGGAAUUGUCAUCAACCGUCCUCUUCACAAAAAGAUCAAACACUUGAAACCUACAAAUCAUGAUCUAUUAACUACCUUCUCUGAUUGUUCUCUGCAUUUCGGCGGACCUCUUGAGGCAAGCAUGGUUUUGUUGAAAACAGAGGAGAAGAUGAAGCUUCCAGGAUUUGAAGAGGUAAUCCCUGGGCUAUGUUUUGGAUCUCGAAACAGUUUGGAUGAUGCUGCAGGGCUUGUGAAGAAGGGGAUUCUCAAGCCUCAUGACUUCAGAUUCUUUGUUGGUUAUGCCGGAUGGCAACUGGAUCAGUUGAGAGAUGAGAUUGAGUCAGAUUAUUGGUAUGUAGCUGCAUGUAGCUCAAGUUUGCUUUGUGGGGCUUUAUCAGAUCCGUCAGAAAGUUUGUGGGAGGAGAUUUUGCAGCUAAUGGGUGGCCAUUACUCCAAAUUGAGCCGGAAGCCAAAGCAAGACAUGUAGGUACUAAUGUAUGGUUUCAGAUUUAGAGACAAAUGAAGAACGUGUAAUCAAGGUGCUGCAAAGUCAAAUUUACCGAUGUUCACUUUAAUGCCAAAUAAGUAGAUAAUUUAUCCUCCUGUCCUACUCUAUUGUUAUAAGAGGAACUGUACCUUGCUUCGUUCUUGUAAUUAUGCUUGUUAGAAUAGUUUGAUGUAAGUAUGAGAAUAAGUUCUGUUGGCUGCAUUUUACGAUUAAACUUUCGAAUUUUAUCUAAAGGACAAAGAGCUCCAGCACCAUUGAAUUGGUAAUGAUGUCUAACCACAACUUAAACUAAUCAAUUUUAUGAGUUUUUUUAAAAUAAAAUUUAAAUUUAUGAUAAUAUUAAUUAAAAAUAAUUAAUUUGAAUAUUUUUAUUAAUCUUAAUAAAUUAAGUAUUUGUUUUUUAUAUAUAAGAUCAUUGAUAAUAUAUAGUAAUGUUGGAUCGGAGUCUUAUAUGACAUAAGUAACAUUGAAUUCAUUUUAUCAAUUUUUUGCAUAUUUUAUGUGAUAUAUAUUUUUUAAUAUAUUUUUUUCUUUUGGCUUCUUUAACUCGUUAGAGGGCGAGCCCUGGUGCAGCGGUAAAGUUGUGCCUUGGUGACUUGUUGGUCAUGAGUUCGAAUCUGGAAAUAGCCUUUUUUCAUUCAUAACAACAAUUUGCAGACUCGUGAAUUAGGGUUGCCCUAAAAAAAUCAGAAAAAAAAAAACAUUGUGUUGUUGAUUAUGUUUGGUUACCUGAUAAAUAAAUUAAAAAAAUCAUUGCACGUGUUGCGAGGAAGAAAAUGCGAAAAGAAAAAUUUGAGAAGAUCGAGUGGAGUGCCUAGACCAAGGCAACCAAAGUAGGUGGCUAGAGACAAUAAUUCGAUAAAAGGCAUUUGUGUGGUGUCUGUCUUGCAUAUAUGACUUUCUUGGUAGUACUUCCUAUUGGGAUUCGUGACUCUUAAUAAGAUAAAAAUAAUAAGAGUAAGAAUGGGCCAUUUAAAGGCAUUUUUUAAUUAUUUUUUUUCUUUCUUUGCUUCCUUUUCGUAUUUUCAUAAUAUUUCAAAAUACUUUCUUUAAAAGUUAAUUUCUGAAACAUACUGCCUCUAGACCUAAAUAUAAAAAAAUAUUUUUGAAUUUAAAUAUAAAUAAAUUUUAACAACUUUAACCUUAUUCAAUGAUAUUAUCCAAAAAAUAUCAUUUAAUUAAUUGUAAUUAUAAUUUUAAUGAUUCUCUUUUAUUUUUAAUAUUAAAUAUUAAUGAAAGACACUUUAGAGAAAAAAAUAUUUUUAAAUGUCAUUAAAAGAAUUAAAUGACAUUAACCAACUUUCUUAAUUCCUGUAAGUUAGUUAAAUUUGCUUAUAUUUAGAUUUAGAGAUAGAAUUAAUAAAAUUUAGGUCCAAAUCUUCUUAAAAAAAUAAAUGCAUUUGAAAGACUAAAAUUUGGAAAGUAAUAAAAUUAAUUUAAUUUUAUAAUUUUUAACAUUUUAUUACAUUGCAUGACUUAGUUUCCAUAAUAUAAUAAAAAUUUAACAAUUUCAUAAACCAAACUCUAGAAUUGGAUUAAUUUAAAUUUAUACCCUUGGAUGAAUAGUUAUACAACUAAAGUUAAUUGACAAAUAAGAUUGGAAACUCAAUGCUACUAAAAAAGAAGACUCGAAUACUAAUAUAAUAUCAAAUACAAGUAUGGUACUAAAAUAUAGGUCGAAUACUUAAAAAAAUACAAGUCAAUUACAAGUCUUCCUCAAUGUCAAUUAGUGAGAUGUUCAAUGUUUCUUAUGUGAUGUUUUAAGUGUCAAUCUCUUUCAUGGCCAUGCUAAGAUCAAACCUUGAUCAAAAUAGUUCAAAAAUACUCUUAAAAUCGUGUUUAAGGAUAGAAUAUAACAUAUUUAAGAAACAUAACAAUGUGAUUGUCAUAAAAUACAUCAUAAGAGUCAAUACGCGAAAAAGAUGAUGUUGAUGAAAUUUUGAUGAAGUUGACACACUUGAAUUGAAACAUAGGGAGACUUUGGAAGACCUUAAAGCUUGUAUUGUUUUUUUAUGAGGUCUUUACAUGGUGUGAAUCUCCUUAAAACUCAUGUUGAUCCCAUGGAUUGGUGUAUCCUUGCAAAGUUAGGUAAUUGUGAGGCACCACUAGGAUUGUCAUUCUAGUUAAGAGUGUUAGUGUUGAUGUCCAAAGUGGAUUUACCAACUAACAUGUACUCCUAGGCCAUUUUCACAAAGAGAUAUUUGAAUGGUACCACAUACACAUGAUAAUAGAAGAAGGAAAGACAUUGAAUUGCAUUUGUGCACCAUUGUUAGUGUGUUCGGUUUAUAUGGUUUUGUGAUAUGUGUGUCAUGUGUGUAUUGUCUUGUACUUGUGUGAAGUUCAUGUAUGAUUCUAUCCCAUAUUUAAUAUGUUGUUUAUACGUGAAAAAUUUUGUUGUGACUUGUAAUGUGAUUUGUUAUGAUAUCAAGGUUAAGGGUAUGAUGAAGGUUACACUUAUAAUGGUGUCAUAUGAGUCAUUGUUGGGACUAGUAUAGGUGUAAGGAUGUAUGUUGUUAACUAAGGAAUAUGAGUUAACAAGAUGCAGUUGUGAUAGGAAGGUAUUAAAAUGAGAAUGAGAUCAUGAGAUUAUAAUGGGAUUAAAAUAGCAUAAUCAUUGUGUUGAGACUAAGUUCCUCUAAAAUCUAAUGUUUUAAUGAUGACAAGCCACUAUGAAGUAAAAUCGCAAGUUAUUGGAUUUAGCUAUUAAUGGUUAUUUUAAGUGUUCUCCAUUAAGACAAGACAUAUUUAGAAGUAUAGUACAUGUGUGAAGCAUAGACCUACAGUGAAAGCUUUUCAUGACAUAAAUUGUACAAUCAAAACUAUGACUACUAGAAGGAGAGUUGUUCAUAACCUGGAAAGACAAUUAUGUUUUCUAAGUCAAAAUGCAAAUUUUGGAAGUUGUGUAUAAUCAUAGGCAUGAUGUUGGGGGUAGCUUAAGUCAAGGGUUUGUUAUUAGAAGCUACACAUAACUUAAAGAUCAUCAGAAGUUGAAUUGCAAAGUAGUUAGUCAAAGAACCAACAAUCAAGUAGAAGGGAGAUUGUUGCACAUUGUAUUGCAGUAACAAUGCAUCUCCAAAAGACUUUCCAUGAUUCAAAAUUUGAAACCAUGUGGAAACCACUAAAACCAAUAGCUAGCACUCAACGAAUCUUUCUCAACCAAUCAUUCAACAAAUAUAUUCAAGAGUGCAAGUUGGCUGACAGUGAAGAAGAGUAGAGAUGAAAAAGACAAAUCAUUGAGUUAUAAUAGGAAAAGGUUGAAUGUGUACAAAAAACCUACUUCUAGGAACUUGGAUAACUCAUGCAACAUUUGAAAGUUGAAUUCAACCUCCCACGAUAAUAACAAGUAGCUUUAAGAUCAUUUUGUAAAUUUAUUGAAUUUGAUGAAGCAACUUGUAAGGAAGGAGUGCCAAAAAAAAUAGUGUAAGGUUAGGUGAGCUCAUCCCUUAGGAUCUUCCUUAGCCACAGACUCUAGGUGGAGCUAGUUAAGCCAAAUUUGAAAGAGUGUAAACAACUUCAUCAAUUGAGCCUUAGUAAAAGGCAUCCUAUAAGGUAUAGAGUUCACCCCUAGGAUUAUAGGGAUAAAACUCAGAAGAGUACUCAAGAGACUGUUGCUUUUGAAGUUUAGUGUGAACACAUCAAAUAUUGUGUGAGUCCCGUAGCGGUUGCAACUAAGAGUGUGAAGCUUGGAAAGGCUUUUGAAAGAAUGCUUGUGUAGAGCCUACAGAGGCUUAGAGAAUACUAGGGUGAAGCCUAAAGAGGCUUUUCAAAAGAAUAUUUAAGGAAGCUUGAAGAGGCUUUGUGAAAGAAUACUUAGAGUAAGGCCUAAAAAGGCUUUUCGAAAGUAAUACCCGAGUGGAGUCUAUAGACGUUUAGAGAAAACUAGUUGUAGGAGCUUGUGGAGGCAUCAAGAAGGAAAGAAUACCACAGUUCAGUGUUUGGUUUUAGUGGAGAAAGCAUACAGGUGUAGGUAUUGGACAUAUCCUAGAUCGAGGGGGGGGGGUUUGAUUUUUUUCCCUACAACUUCUUGUUUAUUUUUGUUGUUGUGAGCUUAAAAUUUGUUUUAGAAUAUGUUAUAUUUGAUAUUUGGUCAAGAGUUUUUUAUAAAACUGUUUUAAUAUUUUGAAGGAACACCAACUUUAAGCAAAAAAGUAAAAAAUAUAAACUAUUAUCUAACAGUAUCUGUGAUGUUGAAAGAAUGAUCUUGAGAAGUAGAAUACAAGGCUACUUGGAGUUUUUACUUUAAAAAAAUGUUUUAUCAAGGUACUUAAGAAGAAAAGGUAUUGCUCUUGUAAGCUUACUGAUUUCCAUGCUAAAAGAAAAGUUAGAAGUAAAGUGUGCUUGUGCAAAAAAUAAUCUGAUCAAUUUUAGUGUUACUAUUCAAUCACAUUCUAAUGACCAACUAAUUAACUUCAUAUUGUGGAAUAAGAAAGAAUUUUAUGGGGUAUUAAUGAUAUUGGUACAAAAAAUUUAUUACAAGCCCAAUAAAGACAAGCCAUGAGAAAGAAGUAAAAGGGGUAUUUAGAUAGAAAUAUCUAACCCACCCUUAGAGUUCCCAAAACAUUCAUUGGGACAUUAUGUCUUACUGAUAAAUUUUUUCACACUUUAUUUUGUGAGCAAUUAUCUUACAUUUUCUUUAGAGUUUUCAUACAUAAUUGUUGUUUUUUGUUGAUUAAUUGUAUAAAAUGGUUUUAAAAACUAAAAAAGAUAAUUUUUUAUGAUUCUUGUGUAAAUUUUGAUGUUACAAAAGUAGAUUUUGAUUAUUAAAGAAUAAAAAGUUGUAGAGAAGAUCUCGCCACAGCGAGAUAAGCUUUCACCGCAAUGAAGCAAGACUUUUGAUCAAUUGGAAUUCAUAGAUAUUUUUCACAAUGAAUUUUCAUUUCGCCACAACAAAUCUACAAAGCUUAACACUUUGGAAUUAAGAGAAACUCACCAUAAUGAGUUAUCUAUUCACCCCAACAAAUAAAGGUCCAAAAGCAUGAAGAUCAAGUACAAAGUUCUUAGUUCAUAAGUGUAGUUUCGCUGCAGCAAAAAUCCUCUGAGGCGCAAAAAUUUAAUGUAAUCUCAACUCCAUUUAAAGAUCUUGUAACAUCAUUCCUGUAGACUUUUAGUACAUUAGACAAUUUCAUAAAUAAAAUCUCAAACUCUCUUCUUUCUUUUUUCUCUAUUAUCCCUCUCUCCCAUUUUCCUCCAUCGUUACUCAUUUGAGGUUCUAUUUGAAUCCUUCAUGAUCCAAAUGAGUUAAAAUAUGUAGUUAUUGAGAGAUUGAAGUAAAAUUCAAGUAUGUAAUCAAUGUUUUUCUAAUCAAUUCUCAUAAUUAAUGUGAUCAUAUUGCUUAGAUGCAUGUUAGGAAUGGUGAAUCUAGCUUUUAGGGAUUUGGAUUAGAUAGAAACAAGUUCAAAUCCUAUAUUCGAAUUGAAAUUGUACUAGACUUUGAUGUUAGGAAUUGAAAUUGCCUUAACUUACCUAAUCGACGGUGAAAAGGUACAUGGAUAGAUAAAGGCUUAAGGGUUUGUAUGAUGCGUGGUGCGCAUCCACAAAUAAAAGGCAUAGUCAAUACCUUUAUUAAGAGAUGACACAAAAAAGAACUCAUUUUUCCACCUUCCAAUUGGAAAGAUGACCAUCACCCUCGAUGAUGUGUCAUGUCUUUUACAUUUACCUAUCAGAGGUUGUAUCCUUGAUCACGUAGAAAUGAGCUACACCAAGAAGGUUAUCAAAGAUCUAUUAAGGUUAAAUCUUGAUAUUAUGACAGACCAUAAAACAGAUGUUGCAACGUCAGUAGGCAGCAUGGUGUUGUUGAGUUGGCUAGAGGGGCUAUAUCACACCUAUGUUGCUAGUGCAUUGUAUGUUUGGGCUACAAGGGUGUAUUUGUUGCAUUUGCUCGACAAUACCAUAUUUGCAGAUAAGAGCUCGACGCAUGUACAUAUAUACUAAAUGCAGUACGUCAAUGAUCUAGAUCAUGGCAACAAGUACGCUUAAGGAGUAGUUGCACUUGCAUUUCUUUAUGAUUAGUUAUCGUAUGUGACAAGUAUGCUAGCUAGCAGAUGGUAGGUUAUAUGACACUUCUCAUGGUAAGUAUUUUUAUGUGUACUUAAUUGUUUCUUUGUUAAUAUUAUAUGACGAUAAAAUUAUUUUUAUGUUUUACAGGCAUAUAUGUUUGAGCAUCUUCCAACCAUUCCAGCCGAUGAAAAGGUGUUGGAGUAUGACCACAAGCAGCCGCUUGCAGCUAGGUGGUUGUUGUUAAGGGGGUACCGAAAAUGUUAUUGUGACUAAGGAGGCAUUGGAUUGGUUGCAAAUGAUUGAUGUUGUUUGGUCCCGAUAUGUAUCACACAGAGACCUUAAACCUUUCGAGGACCAGGCAUACUACUUUGGGUACAUUAAAGUUGAGAUAAACAUGCGAUCAUAUCUAUAAAAAAGGAUUUUUAGGUAGUUUGGGUACGUACAAAGGAUUCCCUUGGAGUGUCCUGCAUAUGAGAAGUAUAUUGAGGCAUGGGACGAGCAGGAGCAACGUGUGAUGCCGCUGGGCGAGGUUGUUCCACAUGGGCUCCAUUGACCUAUAUUGCAUUUUACUUGCCUUGGUAUUAUGAGCAUUCAUAUUCAUACCAAAUUCUGCCAUAAGAGGGAGAGGCACUACGUAGUAUUGUACGUAUCCUGCCACAACCACAACCAUAGUCUCAUCCACAACCUAGUGGUGGUCAAAUACCAGAUUAUGUACAAGGUGUUGUUUACUUGUAUUAGAUAAUGCAAACAAUAUUGUCAUUAAAUACCAGAUUAUGCACAAGGUGUUGCUUACUAACUGUGUUGUUAAAUACUUAUGUACAAUUGAUUUUAGAUGAUGUUAGUGUCCAUAAAGAGAUUGUUGGACAUGCGAGCUGUACCAGAAGGCACAAAUAGCCAUUAGGUCGUACAACAAUUUCUAUUGAUGGCACAUGAGGGUGUUACAACUAGAUGUAGCUUAGUCAAGGAGCGACCACUGAGGAAGAAACCCAACAGAGGUGACCAUAGAAGUAGUUGAGCAUUAUUUAAGACAUUUGUCAUUCUUCUUCUUCUUCUUCUUCUUCUUCUUCUUAUUAUUAUUAUUAUUAUUAUAUUGUUGUUGUUGUUGUUGUUUGUACAAAUUUUUUUUUAUGUUCUAUGAACUUAUAUUUUGUUUAUGUUUUCCAUGUUUUUAUGUUCAAACAACACACACCUAGUAAUAUAAUAAAGAAUGAAAUUUCAAUUAAACUUAGAAAACAAACAACAUCGACAACAACAACAAACAUAAAAUUCAUCAAUUAAAAACAUGAUUACAUAUAGUUAUCAUCUUCAUUAAAGCUUGUUGUUGUCAUUGAUCCACGUAUUAGAGCAUUGAUCUCUUCGACAAAUCUUGAUUUUCUUUAUUUACGCAGCAGAACAAGAAUUUCUUCUCGAGAUCGACCAACCAUUGCAUAUAACUCAAUCUAUCCUUUGGAAUUAAACUCUGGAAAGAUGAAAAACAUAUUCUCCUUUUCAUUGUGAUAUUUGAACUCCAUAUAGUCAUACUCAAUGUAACCGUCACCUACAUAUAUAUGUUUACGGUAAAAAAAACCACAAAUAAGUUUCUUUCACCUUUGAUGACAUCUGUAACCGUUUUUUCUCAAAGCAACAAAUGGCAUUUUUCUCACUAAUUUUAAUGAAUUUAGGAUCACUAUGACAUUCAAACAAUACCCCCUAUGAAGUUGAUACCACAUCACCGUCAUAGUACACAACAACAUCGACUCCCUCCAUCUUCAACCCAAUAAAGUAAAAUAUCACCACAAUGCAUUGAGCUGCCUCAAGCCACUUGUAUUUAUUAGCAUCUUAUACGAUUCUCUUGUGAGUCAAUUAUCAACAACAAUCAAGACUGUGCCAACAAAAUAGACAUUUCGGAUUACAUUUAGCUAUAGGAGGGCACUGUUGACUUGUUAGACCAUCAUAAAUAUGGUUGUUAAAUUAUAAUAUAGUUCAUUAAAUUUUACAUUUUAAUAAUUAAAACACUUUGUAUAUAAAACACAUACACAAUAGAAUCGUGAUUUCAUUGCACAAAGUAGAUAAAAAUAAAUAACGCAACAAAAUCGUGAUUUCAUUGUGCAAUUGAGGGUGGAAAAAUAAAAUAAAAACAAAAUUGUGAUUUCAUUAUAUAUUUGUACAAGAGAAUCACAAUUCUGUUGUGUGAUUCAAGGGUGAAAAAAAUAACAUUAAAAAUGCAAUUCUGUUAUACAUGUGUAUAACAAUCAUAUUUUUAUUGUUAAUUUUUUUCACUUCCAAUUAUGUAACAGAAUCACGAUUUUGUUUAUUUUCGUCCAAGAGAAAAUAGUAAUCCAAAAGUGUAGUGCAAACCAAUAUCCGGUACAACUACACAUAAAACACCACUAAUUCAAUUUGUAUUUUUCAACAAUAUAAUUUUUUAUAAUUAUUCUUAUAAUGUAAUUAAAAAUAUUUAAUCGUGUAAUUAAAAAAAUCAGUCUUACAAAUGAUUGAAUUCAUCCAAAAAUAAUAUGUGUACAUAUAAAGUAAGUUUCUAUUAUUAAUUGAACAUUUCACAACUAAAAAAGGAAAAAAAAAAUAAAUAAAAAAUUAUUCAUAAGCUAUCAAUAUCAAACUUAUAAAAUUUAAACAAUGAAACCUACUGUCAAAUUAGAGUUAAUUUAUUAUUUAAUUAAAAAACAGGUUUAUAAAAAAAUGAAUAAAUUGAACUGGAAUAGUUGCAGCUGAGGGAUGUUGUGUGUUUGUAAAAUGGACACGCAGAUUGCACGUGAUCAUCUUUAGUAGUUCCUUCCAACCCAACAGCAAGCUCUUUGUUUUGUUCCCCACCACCAAUAACGGAGUCCGAGUAGUGCUACUUGUCUCUCGCUCGCUCAUUUUUACCGACAAACACAAACCCCUUUCCCUUUUCUCGGAACUUUUUAUUUUGUUUUGUAAGGAAGAAAAAAAGCCCAAUUUUCGCCGUUCUUUCCCAUUUCAACCACACGCACACGCACACGCACUCAAAUCCAUUUCAACCAAUGUAAUGUGUCUGUCUGGGUGCUAAUUUUUUUGCCUGAAAGGAAAUUGAGAUCUCAAAUAAAAUCCUCCAUUCCAAACCAAAUGCAUGGUUACAGCCGCCUGGGCGGAGCAGCGCGGUCGCCUCCGUCGUCUCCUCGGUUCCGGCACGGCCGGAGCAAGAGCAGCAGCUGGUGUUCGUCGAAGGAGAGCAAUUCCAUGGAGAAGUUGGUCUUUAUUCUUAUGUCGGCAGUUUUUAGAAGGCGUGGUUUGCUUCUCUUCGCUCCUUUGCUGUACAUUUCGGGAAUGCUGUUGUAUAUGGGUUCCUUGAGCAUCGAUGUCGUCAGUAUAAAGAACGGCGUCGUUCUUGUACACAAGCGUGCUCCUCCCGGUUCUGUUUAUAGGAGUCCUCAGCUCUUCCAAAACUUGUGGCCUUUCAUGGAGGCUGAUAAUGGAACUACUCUCAAUGUGGUACUGCACUAUUCCUUGAUAAACAAUUUGUUGUUCUGCUUUCCUAUCUGGAAUUAACUGAGAUGUAAAUCAUGCAGUUGAUGAGAGCAUGGACUAAAAAGGAGCUUAGAGAGUGGAAGCCCUGUGCUAACAGAAGUGUUCCUGAAAUAGGUCUUUUCUUCUCUGGAAAACAAAUUGUCCAAACUUGGAAAAUUGGUUUUAGUUGGUUGUUGCAUGGAUUUUUUUUCUUCCUCUUUUAGUCAAUUUUGUUUCUUUGUCAUGUUGGCUCCCUCACAUUCGAUUUAUUUCCAAGUUCACUUUUAGUUCUAGAAUCUCGAUUAUUUAUUUUAUCUUAUGUCCUUGUUGUCUUUGUUGGAGGAAUUUGCUAACUCUUUUCUUGUCAUCUUAUAGAAUUGCCAAAGUCAAAUGGGUUCCUUAUAAUUGAAGCAAAUGGUGGAUUGAAUCAGCAACGCUUGUCGGUAUGCCUAUUGAUAAAACGAAAGAUUUUAUUUUUACUGAAUUUAUUUAUCUGGGAUUCUUACAUCAUGUUCAGUAUUCCAUUCCAUGUAAUGAGGGGCUCCCAUUCAAUUCAAGGCCUCAUUAUAUAGAACCAUGAAUGAAGCAUGGAAUACCAUUUCCUCAUAGAGAGAUAGGAUUGAGAUUUCAUGCUCUCUGAAAUGAGAAAACUCAUUCUACUUUACAAAAUGGCUUUGCACACUUCAUUUUUUCUUGUUACAAAUAUUGUUUUACACCCUUACAUUUUUCCUUUCCUCGCAAAUAAAAAUGUUGCUCUUCUUUUCUGAACAAUAGUUUGUUUUUGAGGAGUAAAUAAAUAAACCUGAAUGUUCCUAGUUUUUAUCUUUGUUUGCAUGUACCAAACUGUAUUGGAAAAUGGAAAUGGCCAUUUCAUUCCAUUUUCAUCAGUCAUCACAUGGAAUCACCAUUCUGUAUAUGAAACAUGUGAUUGAGCCCUUGUGAUUGGGUGCAGAAGGGAAUUUGAAUCGUGUAGGUAGGAGGGAUUAGAAUGCUGUUAAUGGUGAUUUUCUACAACAAUCAUUUGUUUCGAAAAUGGAUACCUAAUGAGUUAAAUCUAGAGGGCUUUAUGAGGUUGGUGCAUAUUUUUUUCUCCUGGUGUUUGUCCUUGUGUCAUUUUGCUCUGAAUGGAUGUAUGGUGAUAGACUGUCAGGCUUACACGAAUAAUAAAAUUAGAUGGACAUUGAUGCUACAAAUUGCUAUCUAGUAUCUACAUGACAUAUCCUUAUUGUUUUGGCACUUAUUAUACUACUCUUCGUGCAGAUAUGUGAUGCAGUUGCUGUGGCUGGACUACUAAAUGCAACUCUUCUUAUUCCUAUAUUUCAUUUAAAUAGUGUAUGGCGAGACUCAAGGUAAUUGCUUUUGUUAUGCUUAAUUUUAAAAUUGAUGACGUGAUUAGGGUGGUUGCAUAAUUUAUUCAUGUUUAAUGGCUGUUAAACCUAGUGGGAUAAGGCUUUGUUGUUGUUGUUGUAAUGGCAGUUAAUCCUUGCUGUGGCUCUAGUACCCUCUUUUUUAAAACCUUAUCAUUUACAUACUAGGAGUCUGAAUUUGUAAAAUUGAUCAUGGUUCAGUAUUCUACUUUUUCUAUGCUUGCCAUUUAUAUGACUUGCAUGCAGGAUAGGUCAGAUGGGAUAUCAGCUCAGAACAGUUAAGGGGUAUGAAGAUGGAAGAUCAUCUUGUGUUUGAUUUCUUUUUAGAUGAAAUCUUUGGAUUGGGCUUUAAGUUUAAGGAUUGUAAUUUAUGCGUAGGAAGAAAUUAAUCAACUAAUGCAACACAUCUUAGUGAAGGGCUGAAGGCAUAUCUUUAACCUUAGUAUGAAUUUUGCUGUUUUGAGGUUAGCUGGUCAGGUACCAUGUAGAGCAUCCUUUUGUUUUUCUACAAUGGACAAUUUCUUAAUUUUUACUUAUAACCUCCAUUCUCUAUAAUUUAUCUCUGUAGACAAAUUGAUAAGUUUUGGACAUUGGGAAUAGAUAUGCACUGCAUAAAUCAGUUUGGUUUUGGUCUUUUACUUUCUGACAUUUUUUGUGACCAUUGAAAAUGUUGGUAGCACAUUCACUUGGAACAGAAAACCACUUUGACCUUCUGAACUUCAGAAAUUAUCUUAAAGACUUAAACUUAGUGGUACAGAUGCCAAGCUCAUAGUGACAGUUACAACUUACAAAUAUUGAACUCAGAGUCCAUUACAUUAGUUGCCACUUUCCAGUGGCUUAUUCUAAAGCAUUUAAAGGAACUACUUUUGGAUAGGAUAUUUUGACUCCUUUUUUGUCGAUAACCGAUACAUCUGAAGUGCAACCAUGGUUAAGUUUUGUAUAUGUAGAACUGAGUCCUUUAGUUUUAUAAUAAUCUAUAUGGAAUUUUCUUUUAAUAUAUAUUUCUUGUGCAAUCAAAAGUUAAUGGAAAGGUCAUUUUAUAAUCCACGAUUCCAUGCUAAUGCUUAGUGACAUUGUUUGUGUAUUAUAAAUUUGAAAAUUUAUGCUUCACCUUAAUAUCUGGCAGCAAUUUUGGUGACAUUUUCGAUGAAAAUUUCUUCAUACAAUCACUUGGAAAUCGUGUGCAUGUGGUGAGAGAACUCCCUGAUGACAUACUUCAACGAUUUGACAAUAACAUAAGUAAUAUUGUCAAUCUUAGAGUAAAAGGUUGGUCCAGUUCAGCUCACUAUCUUCAGAAGGUCCUUCCUCAGCUUUUGGAAAUGGGGUGUGUGCCUAUCUAAUUUCUAUCUUCUUCUGUUUCCUCACCAUUGGUUGGCUUCCAAUUCUUCUAGCAUGAAAGCAGUUUCUGCUGUGUUUUUAAAUAUUUUUACCUUUACAAUUAAUUCAAUUAUUCUCAAUUGUAAUUAAGUGCCUAUCUAAUUUCUAUCUUCUUCUGUUUCCUCACCAUUGGUUGGUUUCCAAUUCUUCUAGUGUGAAAGCAGUUUCUGCUGUGUUUUUAAAUAUUUUUAUCUUUACAAUUAAUUCAAUUAUUCUCAAUUGUAAUUAAUAUAUAUUUUCAUAUGAUAAAGAUGUAAAAUGGUAGCCAGAUAAGAUAGAAAUAUGUCAUGCUCACAAAUCAAAAAUAAUUUUCAUCUCAUGUCUGGCUGCUUGAGUUUCCGUAGAUAUAAUCUCUUCAUUCACUGAUACUUUGAUGGCUGAAUACGUGCCUUCUUUAAAUUGUAUUAGUCAUAACCGGGGGAACGAGAACUCCACAACCCAUUAAUGUAAAUAAAAUCCCAAACAAUAAAAACCAGUUCAAGGAAAGGACUUAACAAUCCAAAGCCUGUACAUAGAACAUAGACACUGCUAAAUACCUGAUUUUUGGUCCCCAACAAGUAACAGCUAAUUGCUGUACAAUAUCCCUGACAACUUAGUAGCUGUAUAUAGUAAUACUACUUUACUGACUUUUGCUGCAUUUUUACUAGCAUGCUGUACACAACCCAUUCUUACAGUAUAAAUUGUUAAGAUAUGAUAUGAUAGAGAUUUAGGAGAUAUGAUAAGAUAUGAUUCUGUUUAUGAUAUGGUAGAUAUUAAGAGAUGUGAUAGCUUAUUUCUAGGAAAGUAGGAAAGUCUUAUCUUAUCUAGUAGGAUUAUAUCUCUAAGAUUUAGAUUAGAUUUUCUUUUCCUUUUUACUAGUUUAUCUUUUUGUAUCUAUAUGUACGCACAGUCUUUGGGUUAAUGAAUAACAAGAGAAAUACACAGAUUUUCAGUUAUGUCCUCUAAUUCUAACAUGGUAUCAGAGCCUAUAGUCCAUCUUGGUUAUCGCCUGUUCUGGCAGGCAUCUAUGGAGGAGGGGGCGUGUUAGGAAGUUUCGCAUCAUCUACCUCAAUUCUGGGGGUACAACUGAUAUAUCUAUUGGACAACUUCACUUAAUGCCAGUUGGUUUUAAGCUGAAAUCUAACAUAAAUAAGAAAGAGGCAUAAGGGACAAUACACUUAUGUAUUCGCACAGCAAAGGUUUCUCCUAUGCUCUAAUGCUGAUUCUUUUUAUAGAUGUUCUUAAAUGGUACUAUAAUAUUGUUCUUUGUCAUCUAAAUCUCACUCCGAUUUGAUGAAUAUUUUGAUGUCAUACAACAAUAAAUUUCUGAUUACUUAGUGAUAAUGUCUUUAGAAAUCCGGUAUCACUUAGGCUUAUGCAAACACACAUUUAAAAAAUGAAAGUGGAAAUGCAGUAGGAUAACAUUAUAUGAAAGUUUGAGUAGAUGAUUUAAAUUUAAAUAUCUAAAUGCCUAAAGAGUCGUUGGUUUUGUGGUGCUCACAAGAGAUCCCCCCCAACCCCCAGUUGCCCUGAUCCUCAAAAAAAGUACAUUUGUAGUCAUUUUAUUGAAUAUGAUAUUUUAUUAUUAUUAUUAUUACUACCACUAUUUUUCACUUUCUUGCAGCCAGUUCGCCAUAUAUUGUGCAUGGCUCCUAAGAGGAAUUUGCUCAUGCUUGUUGCAGGGCUGUUCGCAUUGCACCUUUCUCCAACAGAUUAGCUCAAGCAGUACCCUCAAAAAUCCAAGGGCUUAGGUGCUUUGCCAAUUUUGGAGCUCUUAGAUUUUCAGAACCUAUACGAACACUUGCAGAAAGCAUGGUUGAUCGGAUGGUUAAAUAUAGCUCCCAUAGUGGAGGGAAAUAUGUUUCAGUGCAUCUUCGUUUUGAGGAGGUGUUUUUCUAAUAUCUUUGUACUUAUGAUGUUGGAUUUACUAGAUACAGUAUUGAUGCAUAAUGAAUAAGCAUAAUUUAGAAUAAUGUUUGUUAACGGAAAGGAUGAUAGUUUAAGGAUUUUACCUCAUCCCUAUUCCCUAGAUAAAUCAUUAUAUUUUAGCUUUCAUAUUUGAAGUGAGGUUGACUAUAUGCCUACUUUCUGAUUAUGACUUAUAAAUACCCUAUUGAUUGUUUUAUUUUCUUGCAAAAGAGACCAAGACUUUCAAGUUAUUGAUAAACAGACUAUUGUCAACUUUUGAGUUUCCUGUGUGUUUUGGUCGCUUGGUUCUAAAUCAAUUGCUAUUCAGAGCCUAGUCCUGCAAGUACAACUACCCAUUGCACCAAAAGCCUUUUCUCCGGCAAUUUUUCUGUAAAUUGGGCAAGCACUAAAGUUUCUGUGUGCCAGGAAUACACACAACACACUUGUUGAUAUUGCAAAUAUUCAUUUCUUCAUCCACUGAAUGCUAAUCACUGAUCAAGAACGAUGAAAAUAGCACCAAUGACUGCUUCUGUCAUAGAAGGCUGCUGAAAUUAGCUCAUCCAGGGGAGGUGUUCAAUGAAUAAAACAAAAUCAGAUCCAGGAGGCACUUAGUGGUCUCCAACACCAUCAAAUAUGAGAAUAGUUGUUUGCAUCUCUUUUCUUGUGGAUAUGCUGUUCUGAGCAAUGGAUAAGCCUGCAUGUUGCUCUCUGUAAAUUGCAUGAGGGGAUAUAACAUUUUCUUGUUGCGCCUCUUGAAAUAGUGAUAGAUGUUUACCUCUGCAGAAUAGGGUUUUAGCAGAGGAGGAUAAUGAUGUGGAAUAAAUAUAGUUUAGGAUAAUUUAGGUUAUUUUUAUGAUUUUCCCUUAUAUCUAUAUGUUAAUUUUUGGUAUUUGUUUAUCUGAUUGGAGUUGACUAUAUGUCUAUUGUAUGAUUUAAUAUCAAUCAGUUUCUUUUUGCUGCCACCUUUUGCAAAUUGUUAAUAAAUAGGCUAUUGUCAAUUAUGUGAGUUUUUUUUUUGUGUUUUGCUUCUUUGGUUUUAUAUUAAUUAUGUAUUAUUUAUUAUAAUUGUUUUGUCCUUGUAUAAAGGAUAUGGUUGCAUUUUCAUGCUGUGAGUAUGAUGGUGGGGAGGAGGAGAAACAUGAAAUGGAUAUUGCUCGUGAAAGGAGUUGGCGAGGUAAAUUCAGAAGAAAGCAUAGGAUAAUAAAGCCUGGUGCAAAUCGUGUGGAUGGAAGAUGCCCACUGACUCCUUUAGAGGUACGUGGUUACAAAUUCUUGUCCUUCCUUUUUUGGUUUCUUCAUUGUUUCCAUUUCUUUUCCUCAUAUUUGUGCUGUUUAAUAUCCUUGGGAAAAUAAAAAAAUCAAAUGCAAAAUUUUGAAAUUAUUUGUUGCUCGUGCUUUGGCUGUACAAUUAUGCUUUUUUUCAUUUGAUAGAAAAAAUGGAGAUGCUUGAUGCUUUGCAACAACAAAGCCUUAUUCCAUUAGGUGAGGCCGGCUACGUGGAUCACAUGACACCAUUUAGCAUGGUUAAAAAUCAUAGUUAAAAAUAUUAUUAAGUUUAAGAUUUCCCUUGAUGAUUUCCUCGAACGUCCUUUUUGGUCUCUCUCUUCUUCUUUUCCCCAGGGCAAGAAUCAUGCAAUCUGCUCUUCUAACUAGCACCUCUUGUGGCCUUCUUUGUACAUGACCAAACCACCUUAGCCGAUUUUCUGUCAUCAUUUUCCUCAAUGGAUGCUACACCAAUCUUCUCUUGUAUAACGUCAUUCCGUAUUUGUAUGACCACACAUUCAUUUUAACAUUCUCAUUUUUGCUACUCUGACUUUUCUCUCAAGUUGUCCCUUUAAAGCUCAACAUUCACUACCAUAUAUUAUAGCUGUACGAUAAAACUUACCUUUGAGUUUGGUUGGUACUUUGCAAUCACAAAUAACCUCUGAUGCUUUUUUUCAUUUAAGCCAUCCUGCUUGUAUCCUAUAUAUGACAUCCUUGUUAAUUUCACCAUCAUCUUAUAUGAUUGAUUCCACACAUUGCCCCCACCCCUGCCUGCCGUCCCCCCUUCCCCCCCACAAAUGCUUGAUGCAUUAAAACCUAAAUAUUCUAUUGCUAUUUUUUUCCUAGAAAUUUGAUUUGAAUAUACUACUUAGAUUCCUGAGUGUAAUAUAUUCCAAAUAAUUAGUAAAUAGAACUCCUCUGAAUUUUAAAUAUUAUCUGUUUUUUCCUUUCUAAAGAGGUCAAUUAGUGGGGGUGGUAGUGGUGAUAGUAGUUGGCCAAGAAACUAUACAUCCCAUGAUAUUAAAUGGGCAUUUGUUUUCCUGAUUUUAUUCAUGCUAAUUUAGUUAGGCUUCCCUAAGAUACAAUUUGAAAUUUUAAUAUGAUCCGUAGCAAUCAAUAUCCUAUGAUCGGGUUGCUGGAAAUUCUUUUGAGAAGGAAAAGGGGAGAUACAAAAAUUGAGCUUUAGAAAUAUUGAAAUGCAAAAUUAAAAUGGAAAACACAAUCAUGUAAAGAAAAAUGUGUCCUGGUAUGAUUUUCACGCCUCAUUUUGUUUGAUGUUGUAGGUGGGAAUGAUGCUUAGAGGCAUGGGUUUUGAUAACACAACCUCAGUAUAUGUUGCAGCAGGAAAGAUUUAUAAAGAACAGAAGUACAUGGCACCACUUAAACAGAUGUUUCCACGAUUACAAACCAAGAAUACGCUGGCAACACCAGAAGAGCUUGCUCAAUUUAUGGUAUUUAAGUGAUCUAUGCUUGUUUAAAACAAGAAAAAUUCAUUUUAUUCUUUGUAGAAAAGAAAGGUGAUUAUGGGGGAAAAAUUCUGUAAUCCACAUGUUUAUGAUGUAGGGGCAUUCGACUAGGUUGGCCGCUCUUGAUUAUACUGUUUGCCUUCAUAGUGAAGUAUUUGUUACAACCCAAGGUGGAAAUUUCCCCCACUUCUUGAUGGGUCACAGGCGCUAUAUGUAUGGUGGACAUGCAAAGACAAUAAAACCCGACAAAAGAAGAUUGGCUCUAUUAUUCGAUAAUCCUAAUAUAAGGUACAACUUUGGCCAUUUCCUGGUUUUUAUUUGUUUUUGCAGUUACUUUUUUAUUCAAACAGUAAAAUAUUUAUUUAGAAGAUGAACUUUAUUUGUCCAGAAGACAGUUAUCCUAAUUAGAGAAAAUUGCUUCUAUAUUUGAUAAUCCUAAUAUAAGGUACACUUAGGAAGUACUGAAUAUUAUUCUUACGAUAAAUGUAAAGAAUGUAUUUACAUUAUACAGACCCAUAUCAAUAAUUAUUUGUCUAAAAAUAGAGUUAAAUCCAAGGGAAUAAAGCCCUGUCUCUGUAAACACUUGGAGAAAAAGAAAAUAAGAAGAAAAAAUGAAAUAAGUUUCUCUUAUAAUUUAAAAUUAGCUUAUACAUAAAUUAAAAUCAGUUUUUUGGAAUAAGCUAAAAUCACUUAUCCAGGUCUACCAGGAUUUCAGUUGAUGAUGACUCUAGGUGGCCAAUUGCCCUUAGGAAAGGUAUCAGGUCUACCAGGAAUUCUCAUCCUAUUUAUAAUGUUUUGAGUUAUUACCAGUUAUUUCCCUAUUUUAACUUAAUUUCAUCCAUAUCACCUCUCAUCAUUCCUAAAAAUAUUCAUGAAGCACUUGAUCACCUUGGGUGGCGACAAGCCAUUGCUGUUGAGAUGCAGGCUCUUGAAAGCAGUGGCACAUGGGAGUUAGUUCCCCUACCUCCUGGAAAGCAGAUGGUCGGUUGUAGAUGGGUGUAUGCUAUUAAGGUUGGGCCUAAUGGUGAAGUUGAUCGCCUUAAGACUGGACUGGUAGCAAAAGGAUACAUUUAGAUCUAUGUGUGGUCUUGAUUAUGGUGAUACCUUUUCUCUUGUCACCAAACUCACCACUGUUCGUUUAUUUCAUGCUAUGACUGUCAUUUGUCAUUGGCCUCUCCACCAAUUGGACAUAAAAAAUGCUUUUGUACAUGGUGACCUAGAUAAAGAGAUAUACAUGGAGCAACCUCCUGGAUUUGUUGCUCAAGGGGAAUGUGGGCUAGUUUGUAAACUGUGCAAAUCUCUUUAUGACCUCAGAUAAUCCCCACGUGCUUGGUUUGGGACAUUUAGUCAAACUUUACAGGCAUUUGGAUUAAAACAUAGUGAAGCAAAUCAUUCAAUCUCCUUUGGUCACUCCUCAUUAGGAAAGUGUAUUUAUUUGAUCGUCUAUUUUGAUGACAUUGUUGUCACAGGAAAUGAUGCUGCUGCAAUUUCUCAGCCAAAAAAACAUCUAUUCAACCAUUUUCAGACCAAAGACCUUGGAUGUCUAAAAUACUUCCUUGGUAUAGAGGUAGCUUAAUCAAACGAAGGCAUUGUUAUUUCUCAAAGGAAGUACGCUUUGGAUAUUCUGAAUGAGACUGACAUGAGUGGAUGUAGGCCUAUUGACAAUCCCAUGGAUCCAAAUCAAAAGUUGAUGGCAGAACAGGGUGAACCUCUCUUAGAUCCUGAGAGGUACAAGAGACUAUUGGGAAACUAAUUUAUCUCACAAUCAUCAAACCUGACAUCUCUUUUGCAGUUGGAGUAGUGAGUCAAUUUAUGUAGAAUCCUUACACUAACCAUUGGAAUGUUGUCACUCAAAUUCUUAGAUACAUUAAAAAGGCUCCAGAACAAGGGUUGUUGAAUGAAGAUAAGGGAAACACCCAUGUUACUGGGUAUUGUGAUGCUGACUUUAUCUCACAAUCAUCAGACCUGACAUCUCUUUUGCAGUUGGAGUAGUGAGUCAAUUUAUGUAGAAUCCUUACACUAACCAUUGGAAUGUUGUCACUCAAAUUCUUAGAUACAUUAAAAGGCUCUAGGACAAGGGUUGUUGAAUGAAGAUAAGGGAAACACCCAUGUUACUUGGUAUUGUGAUGCUGACUGGGCAGGUUCUCAUACUCUACUACUAGAUAUUGUGUGUUCAUAGGAAGAAAUUUGAUUUCUUGGAAGAGCAAGAAACAAAAUGUUGUUGCUCGAUCUAGUGUAGAAGUUGAGUAUAGAGCAAUGGUCUCAGCUACUUGUGAACUUAUGUGGAUCAAACAACUUCUUCAAGAACUUAAGUUUUGUGAAGUUCAGCAGAUGCAAAUCUAUUGUGAUAGUCAGGUAGCGCGUCAUAUUGCCUCUAAUCCAAUAUUCCAUGAAAGAACCAAGCACAUAAAAGUUGACUGCCACUUUGUUUGAGAGAAGCUAAUGGCUAAGGAAAUUAGUGCAGAAAAAAUUGGCUCUAAUGAUCAACUUGCAGAUAUUUUGACUAAGUCAUUAAGGGUGCCUAGGAUUCAAUUUUUGUGUUCCAAGCUUGGUACAUAUGAUUUAUAUGCUCCAGCUUGAGGGGUAAUGUUGGAAAAUAGGUCAUGAUGUACCUUACGUUUUAUUUUUGUAUUUUGUAUACCUGUUGUCUGCUCUUUUCAGAGCUCUGUAUUUUGUUCUUUCCUCUCUUCAACUUACUUAGCAAGCUAUGUUUUCUAAUAAAAUAGAGCCUAAGUGUGAAGAACACUUGAGGAUUUCCAUUCAAUCAUCUGUAGUUACAUUCAAGUAGAUGAUUUGGACAUGUGAAGAGAAGACCUGUAGGUUCACCGCUGAAGAUGGUUGACCAGAUGGAAGAUAGAGCAAUAUUUAAGUGGUAUUGGGAGACUAAGGAAAAUUAUAUAGAGAUUUAGGGGUAAAUGGUCUAUCUUUGUACUUAAUACAUCAUGGAAUUUUAUGGCAUUAUAUGAUUCAUGUAGCCAACCUUAGUGGGAAAAGUCUUGGUUGUUGUUAUAUAUUAUUAUGCAGAGAAAACUUCUAAUCAAUCAAUAUCGAAUACAUUUCUAAUCAUUCUCUAAAGAUUUAAUUAUUCAAAUACCUCAGUGUUGACGGAAAAAUAAAGGUUGAUUGUCUUCUGGAUAUUCUUGCUCGUAGAGUCAUCUACAAUUCAUUCGAAAUAGUCUCAAAAUACAAUAAAAUAUUAACGAGCGAAUGUUCUUGUUAAUGUACAAUUCAUAUGGAAUUUGGAAUGGAUUAAGUGCUGAUAGAAACUAAACUGCUUAUAUUGUAAAUAAUUGUCUAAAGAAAUCAAUAACAUGGCUGCAAAAUGUGACUCUUGUACUCCUCCAUAAAUGUAACUGCCCCUGAUACUAUGGCCGUGCUUUGUCUUUCCUGAUAGUAUCAAAUAUGAACAGCUGCAAACUUCUAGCUCGAAUUUUUUUAUAAUUGACUGAAAAGAUGAAGGUUCAACAAACAAUGAUGAAAGACGAGCCAUAUUAUUUUUGUUAAUGGGACAAACAGAAGUUCAACCUUUUAGAUUUGUCUGCUUUCUAACUAGUGUCGAUUCUCAAGUAGACAUGUAAAUGUUCUUUAUCAAGUAUUUUUCAUGUGUGAAAGAUUGAUGUUAUUAUUCUACCCAACUUAUGUCCACCCCACUGGAUUCUGUACUCGUUAUAAAGCUUACCCCUAGAUUUUUUUUUACUAACUUUGCAGAUGGGAAGUAUUCAAGCAGCAAAUGAAAGACAUGCUUCGUCAUAGUGAUCAAAAGGGAACUGAAUUAAAAAAGGCUGGUGAGUCUCUAUAUACUUUUCCCAUGCCAGAUUGUAUGUGUAGACAGGCAGAACCCAAAAGUGAAAACGGUAACACGACGAAAUAUAUGAAGCUAUAAAUGUAGAGGAAUCGUUUUUAGGAAAUCAACUUGUUCAAUACAUGUAAUUUAUUUUGUAACAUUAUUAUUUUUUAUUUUCUAGUAAAAAGUAGCUGUGAAUUCAUAAUUAUUAUUAUUAUUGUAUAUUGUACAUGAGAUUCAUGGUAAACUGAGAUAGACUUGCACGUGAUUAUCAUGAUUCACUUUACUUUUGAACGAUCGACAAACCUUGUGUGACAAUUUAAUUUAUUAAGCCAAGAUGUUCAAUUUGCAAGUGAUAAAUAACAUCAAUUGGUUGUAAUUUUAUAGUCCAGAGGUUAGCUUGCAAGUUUAAAAAUAUUACUAUUUAUUUUGUAUUGUAUAAUAAAUACUUUUCAUUGAAGAAACCUUGUUCUUGUGAGGAGCAGUGGGUGUGUUUUGUUUUACUUUUUUCCAGGAGUUUUAUGCAUUACCGUGUACUUGAUAUCAACCUGCACAUACAUAGCUGUCGUAUUGAAAGAUAUCUAUUGAAAUAUAAAUAAGUAAAUGAAAUGAAGAAUGUUAAUAUAUUAAUUUAUAUCAUCAUUAUUAAAAGUGGUAUUUAUACUCCGUGGACCUAAAGUUUAUUGAAUUUUUUUUCUAUUAUAUCUUUUAUUAUCAUGCUUGAGUGUUGGUUGAUAUUAUAGUUUCCUAGGUAUAGAAAAACAAGAGCAUUACAAAAACUCGGUAGAUUUAGAAAAAAAGUAUAAAAUAACAUUAUAAAUGAAGAUAUAUUAAAUGGUUAUAAAUUUAUUAUAUCCAACUAAAUAUUUAGUAGGAUUUUCUUAUAAUUAAAUAAAUAAACAAAUAUUGAUUAUUAAUAUUGUCAAAUUAUCAUAAAUUACUGAAUUUUAUACCUAGACGAUAUAUAAGUUUAAUUAAAUUAUAAUUUUUUAAAUUUGUACUCAAUAUUAUUUGUAUUUAGUAUUAUUUAAAAAAUUAAUCAUUUUUUUAAAUAUUUAGUAUUAUAUUAAAUAUAAUUACAUUAAAAUUGAGUAAAAAGAUUAAUUAUAUUUGUAAAGCUUAAAUAUCUUUUUUUUUUUUCAUAGCUUAUUUUUUUCAUUUUCAUCCUUACAACAAAAAAUUUUGUUUUAGUCUUUACAAGAUAUGUUUGUCCUAUUUUUCAUUUUUAAAGUUCUUUAGAGGAUACUUUUUUAUUAUUGUUCAAAAGGUUGUUUAAAGUGUUUUAAGGACGAAAAAUAAAUCACACAUUUUAAAAGGACUUAAAUGGAAAAAAAUACUAAAUUACAAAGAUAAAAAAGUAUUUAAUAUAUUUUUAAUUGAGCUGACAUUAUUUUCAAACAUACGUAAGACUAUGUUUAUCUUGAUUUGUUCUUUGUUCAAGUUGUAAUAAAAGUGAUGUAAUACUUAUAUGAUAUGAGAUGUAUAAAUUAAGAAAGAGUAAAUAUAAAUUUAUAAUUUUUGUAUCUUAUUGGUUUAUAAUUUAUUAUAAACAAUUCAUUGUAAAUGAUUUUUAAAAAUUAUUUGUAUUUUUUAAAAUGAAACAUGUUAAUUAUUAACUUUUCCUAAGAUUAUCAUUAUAAAAUAAAAUAUAUCAAAUAUUAUACUUCAUUAAAGUAAUUUAUCAAUUUUUUGCUUAUUUCAUAAUUAUUACUAUUUAAAUAAGAAAAAUAUAUAAAAUAAAUAACUUAACUCUAAAAUUAUUAAAGAUACUAGUAUGAUUUUACAACACAUGAUCAUAAUAAUGAUGGUUCUGAAAAAAAAAAAAUCAUAAUAAUGGUAAGUAAAUUUCACACUUAGAUCAUUUCUCAUUCACAUAAUCAAUAUGAAAUAAGGAGAGAAAAGCAUGAUGGAAUAUUUAUUUUUCAUAUUCAAGUUCAUUUUUCUUAUAUGAAAAAUAUGAAUUCAAAAAAUAAUCUAAAAAUAAUAAAUAUGAAUAUAUAAUACUAUGUAAUUAUUAAAGUUGUAUGCUUAUUUUAUUUAUUGUUGAUAUAAUGUUAAUAUGUAGCAAUUUUUAUAUGCACUUUUAUCAAUUAAAAUUUAUUUUAAUUUGUUGAGAUAGUGUAUUCUUUUCAUGAUUUUAAAGACAUUAAUUUUAAUUAUGCGAUAUUAUUGAAGAUUUAAAUUGAUUAAUCCUCAUUAUUGCAUAAAUUGAGCAUUCCUAUUUAAUAUAAUUAAAAUCAUAUAUUAUUAUUGUUAUUGUUGUUGAGAGAAGUAAGAGCAAUGGAAUACAACAAUAAGUUCGGAUAUCAUUAUAUUGGAGUAACUAUAUUAUCUCUUAAUUUAGUAAUUUUUUCUAUUUUUAUUUAAUAAAGAAAAGACAUCCAAUCAUAGUUAUCUUUUAUAAAAAAUAUAAAAUAUUUAACUUUUAAAAAUGAAUAAUCGUUCAUUGAUUUUUUUAUAUUACAUGAAUCACAACAGUCACUACCAAUCUAAAGAAUUGACAUAGCGUUAGAAAUCUUUUAUCCUAUCUUCAAUCUUCUUGUACUCAAACAACAAAUUAAUUUGAAUGGCUUUUACAAAUUCAAUUGGAAGGAAAAGGGAUUUGUUAUAUCUAGAAUGGUGAAUUUGCAAGCAAGAGACACAUACACGGGAAUGAAACACAUCAUUUUAGGUUGGAUGAUUGUUUUCUUAAUGUGAUCUGGGAAUGUCGCGUCACAUGAAGAGAUCGUUGCAGUUGCAUUGAUCCUUCGGGAAGAAAAUUCAAAAUGGGUGUUCAGGUUGUGAUGGAGGUUGUGGUGGUGUUUUUAAUGGUGUUGCUUUAGGGUGAAGGACUGAAGGAGAUGGUUGAGGGUGGUGGUGCCGAUUGAGUGGCACACUGGUGGUGGUGUGGUGUGGUUUGGUUGGUGACAAUAGUGUUUUACGUCAAGGUUGGUGACAGUUUGGUUGGGUUUGACAUGAGCUUGGUGGUGAUUUAGGGUGGCUACGCUGAUUGGGUGAUGUGGUGGUGAUUCAGGAUGAUGGAACUGGUGCUUGGUGGUGCGACACAAAGAGAAAGAAAAAGGGAUGAGUGUUCAUUGUCUUGACGGUUUGAAAUGUUAAAUAAAUUGAGACGUUGGUAUUGUUUGACCAAGUUCAUGAAAAUCUGUUUUAUGUUAUUCUCUUCCUAGUUUUAAGUUAUGGCAAGUGGAAGAGUCCAUGACUUUUGUUCCUACUUUUAAGUAAUUGGUUAUUGUUAGUAGGAUAAUGUUUAUCUGUUGGUUAUUUACUGUGUUGCCUAUAAAUAGGCUAUGGAUUAAUAAAGCGAAUACACUUCCACAAUAGUUGACAUCUCAUUUCGUAUCUUUAUUUUUUUCCCUAUUUUAACAGUGGCAUCUAAGCUAGGUUUAUUUUUGAGUGUAAAAAGGGAAGUGUGAGAGUUGUAAACACCAAAAGGUUAGGGGAAACACUAGGAAGUGAGGUAGAGAGUCGGUCAUUAUUUCUUCACUUUGUUUUCUGUUUUGCAGCAGCAAUAGAGGACGAUGGUCACAGACAAUUUCAUGCAACCUGCCAUUCAUCGCUUUGAUGGUCAUUAUGAUCAUUGGAGCCUGUUGAUGGAAAACUUCUUAAGGUAUAAGGAGUAUUGGUAAGUUGUAUCUGAUGGAAUUUCCGUAGCAGAGGCCAGCAUGGCAAUGACAGAUGCACGAAAAACGAAAAACAGAAAUAGAAGGGUUGUGUUUGAAGGAUCUCAAGACAAAGAAUUAUCUUUUCCAAGCAAUUGAUUGCCCAAUCUUGAAAACUAUCCUUUGCAAGGAUACGUCUAAGGACAUUUGGGAUUCCAUGAAGAAGAAAUACCAAGGUUCUGCAUGAGCAAAGAGGUAGUAACUUCAAACAGUUCGGAGUUUGAAACACUACGAAUGAAAUUAGGAGAAUCAGUCAUAGACUAUUUUCACGAACGAUGAUAAUCGUCAACAAGAUGCGAAUCCAUGGUGACAAGAUGGAGGACACCAUUGUAGUUGAGAAGAUUCUUCGAUCACUAACUACACAAUUCAAUUUUGUUGCUUGUGCUAUCGAAGAAGCCCAUGACAUUGAGGAACUUUCACUUGAUGAGCUGCAAAGUUCCUUAUUGGUUCAAGAGAAGAAAAUUAACCAGCAGGAGACAGAGGAGCAAGCAUUGAAAGUCUCAACCGAAAAUUGCCCCACAUCAAAAGGAGAAAGAGGACGAGCAGAGGUCGAGGAAGCAAUGAUCGUGGCAGCCAACAAGAACGUGGCAACCAACAAGAACAUUAACAAUACCAUGAGAAUAAAUUCCAAAGAAGAGGAAGAGGAAGAGGGGGCAACCAUUCAACAACUCACAGAGACAAGUCAAAUGUUGGAUGCUACCGAUGUCACGGAUAUGGUCAUUAUCAGUCAGAAUGUUGGACUAAUUUGAACAAAGACAAUGAAGAGAAAACUAACUUUGCAGAAAAGGAAAAGGAAAAGGAAUAAGAGGUGUCUUUUUUUAUGGUAUGCCAUGUAAAGGAAGAAACUCAACAAAAUUUAUGGUAUUUAGACACUGGUUGUAGCAACCAUAUGUGUGGAGACAAGGAGGUGUUCUCUGAGUUAGAUGAGACUUUUUGCAAUACAGCCAAGUUUGGCGAUAACUCCACUAUCUCUGUCAUGGGAAGAGGAAUGGUAACACUCCAUGCCAAAGAGAAUUCAACUCACUAUUUCUAAUGUUUUGUUUGUUCCAGAUUUAAAAACCAACUUGCUUAGUGCGGGUAAACUGCAAGAGAAGGGAUAUGAAAUUUCUAUCAAAGAUGGCGUAUGUCGAAUCAAAGAUGAAAAGUUAGGCCUAAUUGCUCAAGUUAACAUGAUGCCAAAUCGCAUGUUCCCACUUUAUCUCCACAACUCCGGUCACUUGUGCUUCUCAACCAAAUUGAAAGAUGACGCAUGGCUUUGGCACUUUUGUUAUGGUCACUUGAACUUUGGUGGAUUGAAGACUGUGGCAGAAAAAUAUGGUGACGUGUCUUCCUCAAAUCACAACUUCCUCUGAAGUUUAUGAAGAAUGUGUAGUUAGCAAACAACACUGUAAUCCAUUUCCACAAGGAAAAUCAUAGCGAGCAAAAAAGGCAUUGGAGUUGGUGUAUUCUGACAUUUGCGGGCCAAUAAAUCCAUCUUCAAAUGGUGGUAAAAGAUAUCUGAUCACUUUUAUUGAUGAUCUUAGCUGCAAAACAUGGGUGUAUUUUUUGUAGGAAAAAUCUGAAGCACUUGCUGCAUUUAAAAAUUUUAAAGUGCUUACUGAGAAAGAAGUUGGUAGCCUAAUUAAAGUACUUAGCACUGAUCGUGAUGGAGAAUUCAACUCACAUGAAUUCGCAAAUUUUUGUGAGACCCAUGGAAUCAAGAGGCAAUUUACAGCUGCUUACACACCUCAACAAAAUGGUGUAUGCGAGAGGAAAAACCGUACAAUUAUGAACAUGGUGCGAAGUAUUUUGACAAGGAGUGGAGUUUCCAAAACUUUCUGGCCUGAAGUUGUCAACUGGAGCAUUCAUAUUUUGAAUAGAAGUCCCACACUUGCUGUUCAAAAUAUGACACCGGAGGAAGCAUGGAGUGGGGAAAGACCAGCAGUAGAUCAUUUCAAAAUUUUUGGGUGUGUUGCCUAUCUCACAUUCCAGAUCAAAAGAGAAGAAAGCUAGAUGACAAGGGAGAAAAAUGCAUUUUUCUUGGUGUUAGUGAACAGUCAAAAGCUUACAAAUUGUAUAAUCCUAUCACCAAGAAAAUUAUCAUUAGUCGUGAUGUGAUAUUUGAUGAAGGGCAGUUCUGGAUUUGUGAUAAAGACAGUGUUCAAUAACACAUACAAGUUGAUUUUGAUAGAGGUAAUAGAGAAGAAAGGCAGGAACCUUCGGAGAAUGUGCAACCCGCAACAAUUGAGCAACAACCAACUGGCAACCCACACAUUUCAACUGCUGAAACUGAAGAUGAACGACCUCAACGUGUUAAGCAAAGACCUGCUUGGAUGGCUGAUUUUAAGGUAUAUGGACUUCCCCAAUAUGAAGACCCACAUACACAUUUUGUACUAUUUUCAAAUUGUGAUCCAGUAGCUUUUGAAGAUGUUGUUAAAUAAUCCAAAUGGCGAAAGGCAAUGGAUGCUGAAAUUGCAGCCACCGAAAAGAACAACACUUGGGAGUUGAUAGAGCUUCCCAAAGGUUAAAAGACAAUUGGUGUGAAGUGGGUUUACAAGACCAAGCUGAAAGAGAAUGACGAAGUGGAAAAAUUCAAGGCACCGUUGGUAGCAAAAGGCUACAAACAAGAGUUCGGGAUUGACUACAAAGAAGUCUUUGCUCCGAUAGCAAGGCAUGAUACAAUUAGAUUGGUGAUUUCUUUAGCAGAACAAAAAUCAUGGUCCAUCUUCCAGUUGGAUGUGAAAUCAACGUUCUUGCACGGAGACUUGGAAGAACAGGUAUUUGUUGAUCAACCUCCCGGUUACAUUAAGACUGGAAAUGAGCAUAAAGUGUAUAAACUGAGAAAGGCUCUUUACGGACUAAAACAAGCACCUCAGGUUUGGUAUAGUCGUAUUGAAGCUUAUUUUUUAAGAGAAGGAUUUCUGAAAUGUCCUUAUGAGCACACACUUUUUGUUAAAAUUACUGAUGGUGAAAAAUGCUCAUUGUAUGUGUGUAUGUGGAUGAUCUUAUUUUUACUAGGAAUGAUGUUAUCAUGUUUGACAAAUUUAAGAAGUCCAUGAUGAUUGAAUUUGAUAUGACUGAACUUGGCAUGUUGCAUUAUUUUUUGGGCAUUAAAGUUGUGCAAUCUGCUGUUGGAAUCUUUAUUUUUCAAAAGAAGUAUGUGCAAGAAAUAUUGGACAGGUUUCAGAUGACAAAUUGCAAUUUUGUUAACACACCGGUUGAGUAUGGUUUGAAACUAACCAAGGAUCAUGGAGGAAAAAAGGUUGACAACACACUUUACAAGCAAAUUGUGGGAACUUUAAUGUACUUGACAGCAACAGGACCAGAUGUUAUGUAUGCUGUGAGUCUUAUUAGUAGAUACAUGGACACUCCGGCAGACAUGCAUCUUUUGGCUGCCAAGAGAAUCUUUCGGUACUUGCAAGGUACUGUAGAUUAUGGAUUGUUUUACAAGAUGGGAUUAAAGAUAGAUUUAGUUGACUUUACGGAUAGUGAUUAUGCUGAAGAUUUAGAUAAUCGAAAGAGCACUUCUGGAUAUGCAUUCAUGUUAGGCUCAGGAGCUGUCUCAUGGUCAUCCAAGAAGCAACCAAUUGUUACUUUAUCAACAACUGAAGCAGAGUUUGUUGCUGCCACAACUUGUUCUUGUCAAGCUAUUUGGAUGAGGAAAAUUCUUGAAGAUCUUCAUUUUGAAAGACAAGGGCCUACUACAAUUUUCUGUGAUAAUAAUUCAACUAUCAAACUCUCCAAGAAUCCGAUUUUACAUGGAAGAAGCAAGCACAUUGAUGUGAAAUAUCAUUUUUUAAGGAAGCUCACAAGAAAUGGGACGCUUGAUCUCAUCUAUUGCAGAAGUGAAGAUCAUAUAGCAGAUAUAUUUACGAAGUCCCUCAAAUGGCCUAUGUUUCAGAAGCUAAGGAAAUUACUCGGUGUUAGCAAGUUGGAGAAUCUAGUUUGAGGGAGUUUUUUUUUUUAAACUGAUAUGAUAUGAUUUAUCUGUUUAAGGGAGAGUUUGUUAAAUAAAUUGAGACGUUGGUAUUGUUUGACCAAGUCCAUGAAAAUUUGUUUUAUGUUAUUUUGUUUCUAGUUCUAAGUUGUUACAACAAGUGAAAAAGUCCAUGACUUGUGUUUGUUAUUACUUUAACAAGAGGAAUUUUUGACGUCUCAUCUCCGUAGUGGAGUAUCUUUAUUUUUUUCUAUUUUAACAAGAGGAAUUUUUUUUUAACCAGCACCCAUCUUUUAAGAAGAGUUAUUUGGACUUUUCAUUAAAAAAAUAAAUGCCAUCAAUCAUCAUAACAUUAAGGGGUGAAAAAAAAUAUAUUUUAAUGGAGGAAAUGCAAUAAAUCCUAGGAACGACGAAUGUAAUUUACUUGAUAAUAUAACAUUAAAGCCAAGAGAAUUAGAAAUUAAUUAGAAAAAUCAACCGACAAAAUCUGAUGUUCCAACACCAUAUUUGGUUCUUGAAAGCACUAGCUAGGACUUCGGAUAACAGAUGCUGAUAUAAACAUAAGGAGUAGGCAAAAUGAUAUUAUGCUCAAGACCAUCUUUCUAAUCACAGCAACAAGAGUAUAUAAUCUACGACCAAGUAGUGUGUGUCAGCAAAGCGUUACGCAACCACAAAUACCACCACUAUUUUACAUCAGUCAAGGUCCGGAGUCAAUCUUUACAUGCAAGAAAAACGUGAACACAUCAACAAGGGGACAUUAGUAGUAUAGCUUUGCCCUGAAUCACAAGGUUUAGCAGUCACUAGCCGGACAUGAAUGACGUUGCUGCUUGUCUGAAGUCCAAAGAUUUGAGAGCUUCCCGGGGAAAAGGCUUCCCAUCUGGUAGCCACAGGCCACCCUCAUGAGGUAGCAGCACCUGCGGUUGGGCUUGGCUACUUCCUUCCUUGGAUGAGACCUCAUUCCUUUUCUUCACAAAUUCAAAAAAUUCUGCAACUUGGCGUGCAUAUCUGCACCUCAGAAAGCAAUACAUUACAAAGCAUUAGGAAUCAAUGGAUUAAUCUCUCAGCAAUGAAAUUCUCUAGCAAAGAAUUUUACUUAUUAAAGGAACAGAGAAUUUGGUUACCUACGGGUCUACUUCCAGUUAUAUCAAUAACAGGAAAUGUAACAUUUCACUACCAUUACAAAAGUAAAGAUUUGCAACUUGCAAGUGAAGACUGACAAGAGCAAACUUUGCAAGGAAAUUUUUAUUGCUUUAAGGUGCAGUUUGGAUAAAAUUUUCAAUAAGCACUCAUGGAAGACAACAAAGCAAUAAAAGGCAUAAAGUUCAGCCAUAACUCACAAGUUAAAAUCAACUUCUGCACUUUACCUUUUUAGAAGCUACAGUGCAUCAGUUGAUUUUAACUUGUAAGAUAAGUUUGAUUAGUUUUACCUCUGUUUCUUCUUUUAUAAAUGCUUUUGAAUAAGUUUAUCCAAACUAGUCCUUAUUCAUUAAGUAUUUAAUUGAGUAGAUUACCCAAAUGCACUCUAAAGUCCCCUAUGUUUUAGAAGCUUUCUUGUGGGAUUUCAAGAAACUAAUAACAUAAAUACUAAUGGUAAUUCGUUUUUGUAAUUUUGUUUGGAUAAAAAUUCAUGUAGUCCUGCAGUGCAAUGGCUCUCUAACAGUAUUAUUUAGCUAUACUUUGAAGUACUAUUCACAUUUGAUUUCAUGUUACAUAAAACAUAUCCUUGCAAAACUAAGGCACCUAUUAGCAUCACAAUGCACUCCAAGAUUCCAUUCCGUCUAUGCACACCUUAGUACUUCUCCGUGCAUGCUACAUUGGUUUCUCAAGAUUAUGUUGGACAAUGAUUGAUACCCCAAUCACUCAUAUAAAACACCUGGAUGUAAUAAAUAUGGGGCUAUGGCCAUCAGGAUAAGGUUUGGGGACUAUGCCUAACAUCGGAAAAAUGACUCAGAAAGUAAAGAGCAGAUGAGCACCAAAUGGCAAAUAGUCCUGCAGAUUCACCAUUGGCUAAACAAUAAAGUGAUCUUAGCAAGAUGGAAAACAUCCAUUUAGCUAACACAAUAUAUACAAUCCUAGUUGUAAGUUAUAGGAAAAAUAUGUCAUCUAAUGAUAUACCACUCCACAUAUAUUAUGGGAUCAAACAGUCUACAAUAAACAUGAAACAAAACAUACAUAUGCUUUUGCACCAAACCCACUUAUAUCUCCUAAAGCAGCAUCUUUGAAUUGUAGCAGUGACAAUAGGUUCAUAGCUUCACAGAAAUUAGUUACCUUUUUUACCCCAGAUGCUAUGCUUACCAGUUACAUGAUGACUAAUGCAUAAAAUUCAUGCGCAUACCCACCAGAAAAGUUGUAUACUAAUUUAACACAAAUUGCUCAACAUAUUGCCCACUUUUCUAAUUGUGUGCACAAGUUUGUGAACAUUUAAACCCACUUAUAAACUUUGCCAAAGAUCUUGACAAACUAGCAGUAUAUUCAAUAUUUUAAAGUUGGAAGCAUGAAAAAUAAAACCAACACUUUAUUAGACUGUAUGAGAACACAUCAGCCUUUGAUUUUCCGCCUCAUGUCUCUACUCUCUAAUUCAGUGGAUUUGGAACCACAAUGCCCCACCCACCCCUCCUAUUCUCCAAGAAACACAUCAAACAGACCUUUUUGUGGGCUGAAAUGAUAAAUUUGAUUAUUUUAUCAAAUAACAAAACAAGAAAAAACACCAGUCUCAUGGUUUGAUGAAAAUAGUAUCAGGGUAGUAUUAUUCUUAACUUCUAAAAUUACAAAGCACUAACAAUCCAAUUUAUACCAACAAUCUAGGUCAAUUACUAGAGUAGUGUAAUGACACAAACUUUGGGUAAACCACACCGCAAAAGUUGGCCAUUGUGGUGGGCAAGCACGAAUUUCCAAUACGGGGCUCAGGUCUCAUAUCUUACAAAUGGAACCUCACAUCCCACUAUGCUCUCCAGUCCCAGCACACAUAGCCAGGCUGUGCACUAGUCUAGUUCCAAGUAGAGACUGCAAUGCCAACAUCACAGCUCAUGCUACUCAUUUGCAACUGGGAGACGUGGUAGAAGGCUCUAAUAUGAAUUGAUAUCAACUUUGGGAGAACCACAUUACAAAAGGUAUCCAUUAUGGAGGGAAAGCUCAACUUCAUAUAAACCACACAUCAGAAUACCAUACUUGAGAUGUAGGAAUCAAGUCCCAUACCUUGCAAUUGGGACAUAGGCACCUAGCAUACAACUAGUACAAGACUACAAGCCCAGCUCAACAACAACCCUACAUAACAAGACUCCUCAGGACAAUAAGAGUCAUAAUAUUCAAACAGAGGCAAAAAAAAUUGUCUGACAGAACCAAAGUUUAAGUCCAUGGUAAGGAAACUAAACAAAUAUCCGAGUAAGGAAACUCAAACAAAUAUCCGAGUAAGAAAUAGUUAUCUUACUGCCUCUUUGCUUCGAUAUCUUUGCUGAAAUCAAUAUUGGGUUCACAGUCCAGAACCAAAGCAGGAACCUGUUUAUAGUUCAAAUGGUUAAGCCAGUUUACCAUAACAAACAAAUUCCGACAUGGGAUUUCCAAAUAUUGUACCUUCUGAAUGCUUGAAUGCAUGUGACCACCCUCCAGAUAAAAAACGCGGUCUCUUAUAUCAGGGUGUAAAGAGUUGUCAAUAUGAUGGGGCAGCUGAUUGACAGAUAAUACUCCAUGAUUACCACUUUGGGAGGGAAAUAACCAGCUUUCAUGCUUUUCAUGGAGGUCGCAGAGAUAGUCAAGGCUGACUCCACCUUCUUCUGUUCUUUUUCUUAACAUCAUUCUCUUAUGGCAAGUGUCAGGACUUGCCCUAAGAUAGAUAAAACCAUCAGGAAUAAGUCCAGGCAAGGAGGAUACUACAGGAUCAAACCACGAGUCAUAGAUACUGAUCUCCAUCCCAUUCAUCCAGUUAGCUUCAUGGACAGCUCGUACAAAAACCUUCAUUGAACAGAGAGAUAAAAGAGCAUAAGCCUUAAUUCAACAGAAGAAGCUUAGAGAAGAAUAAGAAAGGGGCAAACAGAAGACUCACCAUCCUGUCACUGAAAACACUCCUCUCCAUCAAACGAAGAGGCUUGAUUCCAGCAGAUGACUCUCUUUCCUGCAUGACCCGUGUGACAAACACAUAGUUCUGAAAGGUGUAGGCAUACCGUUGCGGCUCGGCAUAAAAAGCAUCCAAAAUGUUAAAGUGAUCAGGUCCAACAUCCUGCCACUUGCUAAUGGGUUCAGGAACCACCUCAACAAGAUCACGCAACUCGAUCGUUUCAUUCGCUAUUCUCUGGAGGAAGGUAGUCUUGCCAACGCUAAUGUUACCCUCAACACAGAAUGUUAAGCGCUUCUUCUGAACAGAGGAAGAGGAAUUGUCUUCCAACUCCUCCUCGUCAACACUCUGUUUAAUGAAAGUAGUUAUACUCUCAGCAUGGUUCUUGUGGAUUAUUCCAACAGAAUUCUGUAGAUACUCAACCAUCUUGUCACUAGAUUUGCCAAAGAACUACAGCACAUGACCCAAACACAACAGUUUAAUAUAACAAUUCGUUCGCAGAAAUCUAGCAUUCCUGGUAAAUAAAUCUUUCACGUAAUACCAAAACCCCUAAACAGAGCAGAUGUAAUAAGAGAGAGAGAGAGAGAGAGAGAGAGAGGGACCUUAUCCUUGUAGAGUUGCUUGAGUUGCGCAACACCAGCGAUACCUUUCUGAACGAGCUUUCUGAAAUUUCUGGGACCCACACCGGGGAUGGCCAGCAAAUCAGGAUUUGACGGAGCAGGAGAAGAAGAAGUAGAACCCUUUUGCCUCCUAUUUAGCCUGGAGUUAAAGGGCUUCUCUUUUGAGUCCACAAGAGAACCAUACUCAACAGGGUCGGGUUGGGUGAUGAAAGAGCCUUCUGAAGCCGAAUGCAAGGAGCGGUUUCUAGAGUGGUUAAGGAGAAGAAGGGUCUUGUUAUUCUUGGGGUGGGAGUGGGUGUGGGUUAGACUGAGACACCUGCAGACAGAGCAAGUGUUGGUACUAGAGAGCGCCAAAUAGCGGGAAUAAGAGAGUUGGCGCUUGAGAGAAGAACCAGCAGCAGCUGCUGACAUUGGUUGGUUUGCAACUUUGGGAGGCAACGAAAGAAAGGGAGUAGCCACGGUGACAGAGAUAGAGAGGAAGGGAACUGAAGAAGGGCGUAGCAGUUUCUGCAUUUCACUCUCAGUUUGUGUCCCUCAUUAUGAGGGCGGGAAGGAAAGGUAAGGGUUUUAGGUUUAGCCUCUCAGUAAGAGAGUGGAUACACACACCCCAAUACAAAAGGAGAAUUCAGAGGGUUUCAAUCUCCUUUCUAUUCAGUCACUGACACAAAUAGAAUCGUAUUAACUUUUUUAAUUACGGUAAUAACUAAAUUAAAAACUCAUACUAAUCCUCUUGUACGUUGUCCAAAAAUAGGUUUUUAUUUACACAUUACAUACAAACUCUUAUUCGUGAGUAUAAUCUCGCAACCAUCCCAACUUUUAUAAGGAAUUUUUACUUUGAUUGGACACGGAUAUGAAUUAAACAGUGUAUUACUUAAUUGUUUUUAUUAGGCUUUGUCACUUAUUAUUUCAUGUCUAUUCUUUCAAAUUUUAUAGGUAUACAUAUAAUAUUAGGGAUUAUACUUUCUUUUAAGUUUCAAAUCUCGGAAUAAUUUUUAGAUUGUCGGGAUAUGAAUUUUAUAGGAAAAAUUUUACUAGAAUAAAAUUUUAUAUUUGGUUUCACAGUAUAAUUGUUUAAACUUGACUUGAAUGAAUAAAAUAUUUAAUUAUGUUCAAAUUUUUUAAAAAAUAAUUAACUUUUUUAUGUUUUUCUUGCAAAAAAAAUAUUUUUUAAAAUUAUAAGACAUAUAUUAUUAUAUCUGAUUCUCAACAAGGACACAGAUGGGGAAAAUUUUCAUAUCCGUGGAAGGCAUGGACAAGACCAAGAUGAUUUUAAGAAAGCAGGGACGAGAGUUGUCAAAGCUUUUAGAAAAUUGCAAUGGUGUUUCUUGUGGGGUGGUGAGGAAGAUGCAAAGAAGAUUCAUUGGGUGAAAUGGGACACAAUUUGCCGGCCAAAGGAACAUGAAAGACUUGCCAUAAGGGAUAUUUGUAACACUUUUCAUUUAAAAAAAAACCCAUAUUAAAAUAAUAUAAAAUCUUAAAAUUAUAAAAAUAUAUCUUAUUAUGAUAAAUAAAGUUAAAUAAAUAAGUUUUUAAUUGAGUUAAAAUAUUAUCCUCAAAAUAUGAAUAUUUAAACUAAAUGAACACUAAAACUACAACGAAAGUAAUUACAUUUGGCAUAUUAUUUUGAAGUACUAAUCAAACUAAAAUAAAUAUAAUUAAGAAAAUUAUGUCUUCAAUUCUCCUCAAACUCAACAAUUUUCUCUUCGUGCUUUGAAAAAAUCACUUAUAAUGAGACGAUAAUCCUAAUGAAUAAAAUAAUUAAUAGAAAUUCGCAAAUAGAAUUAUUCUGAAUCGAUAUGGUAAUUUGAAAAAUCAAUCAUAGUAUCUAUAAUGAAUUUAAUAUAAGAUUAUAUAUGUAUAUAUUUACACACCAAUGAAAAUGAUAUUAAACAAUCAUAAUUCAUGAAAUUUUGAAUAAAUAAAAAAAAUUAAAUAAAUGGAAACAAAAUAGAGAUAUUUGGGAAUCAAUGUAGAUCUCAAAUUUUUAAAAAGAUCUAUGAACUCGUAUUUCAUAUAAUAACAUCUCACUAUCUUCCAUCAUAAAUGGACGAGAUAUGAAGUAUAUCUAUUAUAUAAUCUCAUAAUAAAAUGUCAUCAUCCUUUCUCGGGUGUGAUGAUCAACUCAUAAAGUUACAAAAUACUAUUCUAAAAAAAACUAUCAACAAAUGUCCUAAUUUCAUGCAUUUAAUAAUAAUUCUCAAAAUCACCAUAAUAACAAUAGAAUUAACUAAUAAUAUAAAAUCACAUAGUAUUUACAAUGGCUAGAAUAUAAUACACAUGCGCACAAAUUAGUCAUAAUCCUAAAGGUUAAAUUACAUUCAUUAAUUCAAUGAUAAAAUUAUUUAGGUAAUGUCAAUAUAUAUAUAUAUAUAUAUAUAUAUAUAUAUAUAUAUAUAUAUAUAAAGAAAACGUAUUUGCAAGAAUUCAUAUCAUGAGGUUUAAAAAAAGUUAUUUUACUCACAUCUUAAAACAAUAAAUUUGUAUUUUUUGUUAUUUUUUUUCUUUUCUACUAAUUGCAUUGAGAAAAAAAUUCAUUUUUUUUUAAUCCUUGAGUAGUAACUCACUAAUAUUAAGAGAGACUAUUUAUGUGUGAUCGAAACACUAUUACCCUUAUAUAUAAAUUAUACAUAAUUUGAAACUUGUUUGGCUGAUCUUUUUAUCUAUUAUUUAUAUUAUAUUUCAUUAUAAUUAUCUUUAACUCAUUCAAUAUAUUAUUAUACUAACAUUUUUUUAAAAUAAAAAAAAAUAACAAUCUAAUACUUUAAAAUAAUUUAAUUAUUUUUUUUUUAUUAAAAGAUAUAUUUAAAUAUGUUUAUCAAAAUAAUUAUUGAAUUAUUUUUGAAAUGUUUUAAUAUCUCUCUUUAACGAUGCUCUUCUGUAUCCUUAACAUUUUUUAAGGUUAUGCAUAGUGGCUAGGUGAAAGAUGCCUUUUUUUGUUCACUGUUCAUUCUUUUUAAGCAUUUAGCACUGCCUGAAUCAAGUCUGAUUUCACAACAAGCCCGUUGACUUCCAUGUUGCUCUCAUUCUUAUCUUUGCAUCUCUACUUUGGCUAGGAUGCUUUCUAAAGGCUCGUUGUCGUCUUACUCUUGGACGAAUUCUCCUUCCUGAAAUAUUUUUCUAUGGAGGUUCACCCCCUAAACCUCGUUUGAUAAAAAGGGAGGACUGGUAUCCAACUCUUGCAGGUACUAUUAAAUGUGAUGUAUAUGGCCUGGCAAAAGAUGCUCCUGGUCAUGCUGGUACUGGGGCAUCUUUGGAGGCUCUCAUGGCACCUUCUAGGGUUGCUUCUCCUCCUUUGAAGGGAUCUGCCAUGCCCUCCAUGCUAAGUUGUUUGCCAUUAUCAUGGCCAUUGAGACUACCAUUUUAGUAUAAUUGGAAGGUUCUUUUUGGAUAAAAUCUAAUUCUUUAAUUUGAUUAUCAUUUAAGCCAUCAAAGACCAUUAUCUUGUUCCGUGGAGCAUUAGGUAGCGUUGGAAAAACUAUUUCUUUGGCUUGUAUAGAUCACACUAUAGUUUUGUUUUCCUCUCAUAUUUGUAGAGAAGGGAAUUUUGUGCAGAUUUACUAGCAAACCAUGUGAGGCUAACUCUACUUCUAGUUUUACUUGGUGGGACCGUGCUCCUAGUUUUGUUAAGCAUGAGUUCCUUCACAAUUGGAAAGCCCUCCCUAACUAUAGGUUUCUAUAGUUCUUUUGAUGGGUCUUGGCCUAGUGCCUCCAUUUUGCUUUGUUUUGCUUCUUUUAUUUAACAUUAUUCGUAGAGUGGUGGUGGUGAUGGUUGGCGGUGGGGUGCCAACAUAGGUCUUUGCUCGCCAUCUAGUUGGUCUCUAUUUUUUUUAUUUAAAAAAAGUCUGUUUUUAUUCAUUUAGGCUUUGCUUGUUUCCACUUCCCACAAUGUGAUAUAUAUAAUUCCCCACAAUAGCAGAGUUGGAUUGUGUCAUGUGUGGCAGCCGAAUAGAAAUGGGAAGAAUUUGGAGGUCUAUUUAUUAAGGACUCCUGACGCAGAACUUAUGCCUAUACACCAAUGUGGUCAGGUUAAUGUUUGGCACCAAUAUGCUCCUUUGAUCAAUUGCAAAAACAGGAGCUAAUGAUGGAAGUCAAUUGCCUAUUUACAUUACAACUCCCCUCCUACAAAUGUAUAUCAGCUUGCUGAUGCACCAAGUACUAUGUUUCUCAAGUCAAGAUGUAAUAUUUUUAUAUCUCUUCUAUUUACUAUAUUAUAAAAGUAUGUUCUCUUUAGUCACAUGUCAACAUUUUGUGUCACACAUCAAUAUUUUAGAAACCUAAUUUUUUUAACUUUUUCUUUUAUCUUUCUAUUUCUUGUAAGUAUUGUUUCUUUUAAUCUUUUUUCUUUUUUUUUAUAUUUCUUUCUUUCUUUUUUCUUCUUACAUUUUUUAUUUUCUUCUUAUUCUUUUUUAUGUUUUCUUCAAUUUUUUACCUUUUAUCUUUUCUUUUGCUUUUUUUAAUUUCUUCUUUCUCUUUUAGCAUUUUUUUCUUUUUUAUUUACAUUUUUAUAAUUUUCUAUCUAUCCUAUUUACUAUAUUAUAAAAGUAUGUCCUCUUUAGCCACAUGUCAAUAUUCCAUGUGCCUCGUGUAAACAUUUUAGAAGUUUUAGGAGUUGUUUGGUUUGACUGUUUUCUAUUUUCAUUUUCACUGGAAAUAAAAAAUGGUGAUAAAAAUGCGUUUGGUUGGAUUUUUGAAAACAUAUUUAGUGAAAAUAUUUUCUCAAACGAACUAAAAACGAAAAACAAUAAAAUCUCGUUCUAGUGUUUUCAGUUUAAAUCAAGAAUCUCAUUUUGGGUAAAAUGAAAACGCAAUAACAAGGAAUGUAAUUUUAAGCGAAUCUAAAAAUACAUUUCUUUUUGAAAACACAUGUUCAAUGUUUUUAUUUGUUGAAAGCAAAAAACAAGAAAUCAAAAUAAAUAUGUUUUCAGAAUUCUAAUAUUUUAAAAAUAAAAACAGUUUUCAAAAAAUAAAAACAAAAAUAAAAAUGUAAACCAAAUACACCCUUACUUUUUUAAUAGUAUAAACCUCUUACCUUUUUACAACAUUGUUGCAACUUGCCAAUAGCAAUUGCUUGUUGGGAGCAAACCACAAGUAGUCAUGAUUUGCUAACACGGGUAUAAAAAAGGUGAGUAAUAUUAAAAAACUGUAAGCAAAAAAAAAUCUAUGAUUCACAUUCUAUCCAUACCUAAAUUUGAACGAUAUGAUGCGGCUGCCCAAUCUUACUGGGACCACCACCAUCUAAUGCAAGCAUUUUAAUACCUAAAUCAAAUCAAGGAUUCUUAUUAAAUUAAAUAUGGCUAUCAAAGUUUCAAGUCUCCUUUAGAGAUUAAAGGUUAUUAUUAAUUUAAAAAUUUUGAUCUAACAAUUCAUACAAAUUCAAACUUCAUUUACAUAGAUAGAUAUAUUAGAUAGAUUCAAAUGAGUUAAUUAUUUUUCACAAUUAAUAAUAAUAGUUUUAUAUCACUAGUUAACAAGUGUAAUUGAUUCGUGUCAUACACAAGUAAAUAUUAUUCAUGAAUAUUUUAAAUAUAUAAAUAUUUUUUAAAUUUAUAGUAGGAAUUAUUUUUAAUUAUUGAUUGUAAAGUAUAAUAUUUUUAAUUAUUAAUUAUUGUUGUCAAUUAUAGAUAUAUAAUUUAUUAAAGUAUAUGGUAAAAUAUAGUUUUUAAAAUACAAUAAAUGGGAGAAAUAAAAAACAUUUUAGUUAUAAGGUAAGGUAGCAAUAUUUAAAUAAUUGUUGAAAAAUAAUAUUUCAAUCAAUCUAAGAUAAGAGUUCUUAGUUACAAUAUAAAUAAAACAAAUCAUGAAAUAAUAAUUUUAAAUCAAAAUUUAAAUUGAAGCAACACAUGACAUAUAUACUGAUUUUUGAAUAAUACUAGAAAAUAUUUUAAAUUUUGAACAUAUAUUGUAAAAAAUGAAUUAGGAAUUGUGAACUAAAAAUAAACUAUGUGAAUUAUUAUAAAUGAUUGUGUACCAAUUAUUUUAAUUUUUUUUAUCAUCAUAAUUAAGGUCUGGCUCUUUAGUGAGAUUUCAAGAUAUUUUCAUAAGUUAAGCUUUGAUCCUUUGUAUUGGUUAUGAGACUAAUCAUUAGUCUAAGAUUUAAUCACAUUUAAAUUUUAUCAUUUCUUUUUAAUAGUGUAUUCUACAAGGAUCAAAUCCAGGUUCUCCCCCAACAAAUUGAGUAUGUAUUGUCCACCUAUUGGAUAUUAUGUAUCAAUCAUGUAGCUUAAAGUAUAAUGACUUCAAAUUAUUAACUACUGUUGUGCAAUAUGCAUAGUUAGAUGAAGAUCUAAUUAAUUAUUAUAUAUAAAAGGAGAAAAUAUGCUUUUACUUUUAUAUUUUGGGUUAAACUUGAUUUCAGUUUAUAUAUUUAAGUAAAUGAAUUUAGUCUUUUAAAUCUUGUAAAUAUGUGAAUUUAAUCACACUUCAUGUUUAAACUUAACAUUUAGUGGCAUUUUCUUACCGCUACAAAGUUGAAUUAGGGACUUUAUUCACAUAUUUUUUAAAGUUAGAAGACUAUAUUCAUUAAUUUGAAAGUAUAAGAACUAAAAUCAUGUUUCACAGCAAAAUAUUGGAACAAAUUCACUUAGUGGAAUGGAAGCGAAAGAAGCCACUUUAGAGGCAACUUUCUUUGCCAGAAGAAGAUAUUAUAAUUUAUUGUGAUUCAUAAUAACUACAAAAUUUAAAUUAAUUUGAUAGUCAAUUUUAGCUAAGAAUUAUUGUAAUUUCUUUACUUUACUGUUGUUUUUAAUAAAACAAUAAAUAAAUUAAUGUCUUUGCAGUUUUAUAUCAGCAGAAUUUAAAAGAAAUUUUUUUUAAGUGCUUUGAGAAAAAUUGAUGCAAAAAUUGGAAGAAGUAGUCUUGAAGAAAACAUUGGAAGAAAUGGACAAUCUGCGCUUAGCGCAAAGAAGCCCAAAGGUGCGCCGAGCUAAACAUGAGGUCGCGUGAAAAUUAAGUUACAUUAUGUCUAUAAAAGGAGUAGGAAGCAUAAGGGAAGGAUACAACAUGGGGACAACAUCCUAAGUAGCAUCUCUAAUAGGGAAAAUCCUCUCUCUAUGUCCAUUAUCUCAUUUUGCUCCUCUAUUCAUUCCUCUUCUUCUAUCCACAUUAGCCCCUAAAGUGUAAAGCUUAUGACAAUAAGAGGCUAAGGGAGCCUAGCAGCCACCAAAUGCCCUUGUAAUGUAAUCUUUCCUUGUUAUCUAUUUAAUGUCAUACCAAUUUUUAUUGUUUCUUUUCUGUGCUUUCUUAUUAUCUAUUUAAUGCAAUGCCAAUUUUUAUUGUUUUUUUCCCGUGUUGUAUUGUUAUUGUAUAGCCUUAUCAUCCAUGCAUUAAUUUUAGGGGUUAUACAUUGAAAAAUGAUAAUUUCUAAAGAAUUGGAAAGGACAUCUCAACACUUCAUUGCUAGGGAUAGUAUGACUUUGUUAUGCCUCUGUAUACAUCUUCAUACUUAAUACAAUUUAUCAUUCAAUCUUUGUAAAGGAAUUUGGGAGAAAAAUAGAUAAAGUAGACUCUUCAUCGGAUCAGGGUUGAGUGUCUUAAUAGAUGUGAGUGGAAAUUGGAAUAACAUUAUAUAAUAAAAAUAAUUAAUAUUGCAUUACAAGUAGUUUUAGCAUGUUAGGUCUCAACAUAUUUGAGUUCUAAAUUUUUUUUUAUCAUCAUCUUUAUCUCUUAUUUCUCUUAUCUUUUACAUUAAAAUUCUUUAUCUAUUUUAUCUUCUAUUUUUUUAAUUUAAAUCUUUUAUCUUUCCUAUCUUCCAUUUUUAUCUCUUAUCUUCUAUUUUAAAUCUUUAUCUUAUCUCCUAUCUUCCUUUAUCUUUUAUUUUAAAUUUUUUAUCUUUUGCUUGUAAAUUGAGUUUGCAUCAAUCAAGUACAAAUAAAGUUCCUGUGGAUUCAACAGUCAAACUUUCGAGUCUACUACUUGAGACAAAUUGAUAUACUUGUCAAUGAGUUAACAAUUCACUUAGUAGUUGUUACUCACUAAGCGUGACAUGCUUUUAUGCAAAACCAAAAAACAAAACGAAGAUUCUCUACUUGUAUAAAGCAUCUUUUCACUAGGAUCAACAGUAGAUCAUUCUAGGAUUGUGUUUUGUGGCUCGAGCUCUCACUUGCUACAUUCCCUUAUUUCUUUCCCAUUCUUCUUCCUUUUCCCAUUGUUCUUUGUGUUUUUUGGUGGCUCCUCGUCUCAAUGUGAGUUAAGAAUUUUGUGUACUAGUAACUCUCAUGUAACUAUUCUUACAUGUAUUUAAUGAAUAUCCAUUGUUAAUGUUAUUUCUUUGUGUUUAAUAUUUGUUCUUGGCUUUAUUUAUGUUUUUUUAUUGUCAUUAGAAAAUGCUUUAAAAAUUAAGAUUUGUAAAUGAUAUCUAAUAAAUGUCACAUUUGAGAAUAGAGUGAUGUUUGUUGAUCUCUUCAUGAUCCUUGCUCUUAAAUAAAUCGGUUAACUUCAAUUGCUAAGGAAAUAUAAAUAAUGUUAAGUGAUUUAUCCUUUUCCACUUGAGGAAUCAAUGUCAAAGGACUUAAGUGGCUUGAAAAAGCACUACGAAUUUCAUUAUAUAGAAAAAAAAAUUUGUUACUAAGAUGUUUGCUAAGUACUACUACCAAAGACUUAUUUGAAAUUUGUCCUAUUUUUAUUGCUAAGAUAGCACUAGUUUGUUUUAUUGUUUAGCUUAGAACUUAUAAUUUAAUUUUUAAACCCAUUUUCACCAAAACAAAAUAUAUAUUCUUUUGCCUAGAUGUUGAAUGUACACAAAAGCCUAGUGCAAAAAAGUUUCUGUAGAGACAAUCUUUGUGCUUAUAUAUAUAUAUAUAUAUAUAUAUAUGAAAAUAUUGGAUCAAUCAGUUAACCAACGAAGAUCGUAAUAUUUUGGUUUGUGAUUUUGGUAGCAAAUUGAGUAAUUGCAUGCUUACAAGGCAUACCUGCACAUGUUAAGCACACAUAUAUUUAAAAUAAUAAUACAUAUAACACAUAUACAACAAAGUAAUAUUCAUAAAUGUCAACAAUGAAUCAAAGGUACUUGUUAAUUGUCACAUCCAACAAGACGUGUCAACAUAGUAAGAUUAACAUUCACAUUUAUUUGACACUUUUAAACUUUAGACCUAUUGUCAUCACCAUCACCUGAACAAACUGUUGUCCACUUAUAGCUUUUAGUUCUUUCAUUCGCCAACCUUGAUAGUUGCAUGGGAGUCAAUGGUCCUACCGAACAAUCAAUUUGAGCUUACAUGUACUCAUUGCACGCAUAACAUUGAAUAUAAUGUCCUCAGCUAAACUUAGAAUUGGCUUGCCCCUAUUCUUCAGGAUCCUUGCAUUGAAUGUUUCACCGUUGUUGUUGCAGAUGCUGUCCCCUUUAGAACUCUUGCUAAAAAUGCUUUGUUCUAUGAUUCAUAAGGCAAAUUUUUCAAAUAAUCGCACACUUUUUUCCCCCUCUAAAGUGCUUCCUUGUGUAAAUUAAAUUCAAAAACUGUUGCUGAUCUUACACAUUGCCUAAAGAAGUCUCUUUGCUCUUAAUCUUUCCCAUGCUUUGUGAAGUUUCCCCAUAUAUGAAUUACACAAUAUUCUCUGCACUAUAGGCAUAACCUCCCUCAUGGCAUGAAUAAGACCAUGUACAUACGAAAAAUAAAUAUCAAUUUGAUCCUUAAGUUAACGAUUAUUUGUUAAUUUGGUCCUCAAUUUACAGUGUACUUUAAAAGAUUAUAAUUACCUUAUGCAUGUUUGACAUGAAGCACCAACCUUGUUGCCUGUAAUCUCCCAAGUCUUAUGAAGCAAUGUAAGAAACUUUCCAAUUUUCUAUGUCUGCAACAUCAAGAAUUGCAUAUGCAAUUACAAAAAUGUCAUUAUUUGCACCUUGGCCAACUACUGUGAGCACUUGGCCACCAUAGUAUUCCUUCAAAAAAUGUUCAUCUAGACCAAUAAAUGGUUGACAUCCACCUUUGAAUCCCUUUUUACAUGCAUCAAGACAAAAAUAUACUCUACGAAAUUGUGGUUUGGCCUACGAAAUUGGGAUACAAUCAAUAAUUCUUGACCCUUGAUUGGCUCUUAUAAACUCAUUACCAUAAUCCCAAAAUGCAAGUAUUCAUAUAUUUCCUGACGAAGAUAUACUUUUGUAACUGCAUAAUAUUUUAUUUUUCAGUUUUAAAAUAGGAUUUAGUAAAUAAGUUGAUUUCCUAUAUUUUAGGAGUAAGGCAGGUUUAAUGGAUUAGUCUAGUCAAUAAGUGGUUCCUAUCUUUAAGGAACAAGUUAGUUUUAAUAUUCUGUUUUGCUAAUAUCUUGUUAUCUAAUUAGUUUAUCUUUUGCUAUUUAUUGUAUCGCUGCCGAGAACAAUUUGAAUUAGAAUAGAAUAAUUCUAUUUUCUCCGCAUACGCAUUGUCUCUCUUCUCUCCUCUGUUCUUUCAUAAUUUCCUCCACAAAACCAACAAUUGGUAUCGAGAGCCUUAUUCUUACGGGACUUGUACCAUGGAAGGUGAAACAAGUUUUUCCCACAUAACUCUUCCAAUCUUUGAUGGAGAGAAUUAUGAUCUUUGGGAAGUGAAAAUGCAAUCUUACAUGGAGUCUUUGGAUUUGUGGGAUGUUGUGGAAGAGGAUUAUGAAAUAUAUCCGCUGCCUGAAAAUCCCACCAUGGCCCAAAUUAAAAAUCACAAGGAAAGAAAGAUGAAGAAGGCAAAGGCGAGGUCAUGUUUGCUCACUGGUGUUUCACAAAUGAUAUUCAUCAGAAUCAUGACUCUUAAAUCACCCAAAGCAAUUUGGGAUUAUCUGAAAGAGGAAUACGCUGGAGAUGAUAGAAUACGAAGCAUGCAAGUGCUAAAUUUAAGGAGGGAAUUUGAGCUUCAAAGGAUGAAAGAGUCAGAGACAAUCAAAGAAUACUCAAACAAAUUGUUAGGUAUUGCCAACAAGAUAAAGUUGUUGGGAAGUGAUUUUGUUGAUUCGAGAAUUGUAGAGAAAAUUUUGGUAACGGUGUCGGAGAGGUAUGAAGCAUCUAUAGCUUCAUUGGAGAACACAAAGGAUCUGUCGAAAAUCACAUUGGCAGAAGUGCUACACGCCCUGCUAGCUCAAGAGCAACGAAGGUUGAUGAGGCAAGAUCGUGUUGUCGAAGGUGCUUUGCCCGCCAAACAUCAUGAAGUUGAUGAAAAUAAAAAGGAUUUUUUCAAGAAGAAUCAACCAGCAAGCAGCGAAAAUAAUGCAAACAACCAAAACAAAGGUAAGGAGAAAAAUUAUCCACCUUGUCAGGAUUACGGAAAAUUGGGUCACCCACCAUACAAAUGUUGAAAACGGCCAGACGCAAAGUGCAGCAAGUGCAAUCAGCUUGGACACGAAGCUAUAAUUUGUAAAAGCAAAUUUCAGCAACAAGAAGCCGAUGCCCAAGUUGUUGAGCAGGAGGAAGAAGAUUAUAUUUUUGCUGCAACAUGUUAUUCGAUGAGGAGUAGUUCUAAAUGUUGGUUGAUUGAUAGUGGUUGUACGAACCACAUGACAUAUGAUAAGACUCUAUUCAAGGAUUUGAAGCCAACUAAUGUCUCAAAGAUCAUAAUUGAGAAUGGUGGCUAUAUUCCAGUAAAAGGAAAAGGAACUGUUGCAAUUUCAACAUGUUCAGGUAUCAAAUUAAUAUCAGAUGUUCUUUAUGUACCUAACAUUGACCAAAACUUGCUAAGUGUAGGUCAGUUGAUUAAAAAGGGAUUUAAAGUGUCCUUUGAACAUCAACAUUGCUUUGUCUAUGACAUUGCUGACCGGGAAGUUCUAAGGAUUAAAAUGAAUGGUAAAAACUUUUCAUUUGAUCCAGCAGAGGAGGAGCAUACAACCUAUUUCACUCAAGUCACACCCACGAAACUCUGGCACAAGAGACUUGAUCAUUGUCAUCUUGAAAGAAUACUAAACAUGAAAAAAAAGGAAAUAUGCAAAAGAAAAUUUGAAGAAGUUUCAAAUGGAGGAAUGCAAGUCUGUUAGCACACCAAUGAAUCAAAAGGAGAAGUUUAGCAAAGAAGAAGGUGUUGAUAACAUUGAUGAAGGAUAUUAUGGGAGUUUGAUUGGAUGUCCAAUGUAUCUCACUACAACAAGGCCAAACAUUCUAUUUUCUCAAAAGAACAAAACUGAAAUUUUUGUUGACAAUCAAGUAGUCAUUGUUGUUGCAAACAAUCCCAUGUGUCAUGGGAAGACUAAACAUUUCAACAUCAAGGUUUAUUAUUUGAUAAAGAUGCAACAAAGUGGAGAAGUGAACUUAAUUUACUGCAAGUCUAAAGAUCAACUGACUGACAUGUUUACAAAGUCACUACCUAUCAACAAACUUAAACUCAAAGAAUUGGAGUUUGCAGUUCCAAAAGCAAGGAGGAGUGUUGAAGAUAUACUUUUGUAACUGCAUAAUAUUUUAUUUUUCAGUUUUAAAAUAGGAUUUAGUAAAUAAGUUGAUUUCCUAUAUUUUAGGAGUAAGGCAGGUUUAAUGGAUUAACCUAGUCAAUAAGUGGUUCCUAUCUUUAAAGAGCAAGUUAGUUUUAAUAUUCUGUUUUGCUAAUAUCUUAUUAUCUAAUUAGUUUAUCUUUUGUUAUUUAUUGUAUCGCUGCCGAGAACAAUUUGAAUUAGAAUAAAAUAAUUUUAUUUCCUUCGCAUACGCAUUGUCUCUCUUCUCUCCUCUGUUCUUUUAUAAUUUCCUCCACAAAACCAUCCGUUCCUUUAAAUUACCCUCAACCAUCUUUCGAGCAUCUUUUAAAGCCUUAAAAAUCGUAGUACCAUUUGUGUGCAGGCCUAAAUCAGAUUUCAAGUAUUAAAAUGCCUCCAUAUAAUUUUAAGUAGGAUGCAUUCUAAUUUUGUUUGCCAACUUGCAAGCAUCCCAUUUCCUAGAAGCUUCACCAUUCUUGAAGUUCCUACCACAAAUAUGUUCUUUCGCAAAGGUUUUAAUUUGGAAGCUUCAAUGAUCUUCAUUUCAUGAACAAUAUAUCUCCCACGAAUAGUUCGUUUACUCACAUAUUGCUCUUGCUUUUUUUCUUGUCAUUCUUUAGCCAUUUUAAUUUGCCUUCGAUAGUAUAUAGUGCAGUCCCUAACUGCAUAUAUCAUUGAAAAUUUGUAAGUUGGCAAACACCCUUCUCUAUCUCUAAUUAUAAUUCAUUAGUAAAACUUUGUACCUUCAUUAUACUGAUGAUAAACAACAGCUUUACUACUACAUCCUUCAUCACUAGUGCUAUUAGGAGUCUGAAGAUAUUUUGAAUGGUAACUAUAGUCACUUGACUGUUCAUCGUCAUCUGCUAGAGAUGUAUGAAGAAUGACCUCGUUACCUUCAGAAUUAUCAUAAAACUCAUGGUAUGAUUCUUCGUCAUCAAAUCCAUCAUUAGACAUCCUGCAAAAUAACUUUAAUUAAAGUUGACAUCAUACAACUUGGCAUAAGAGAUUAACCCCUUAUGAAAUAAAUUUUAGUAAAACGUGCAAUGAAUCGACGUCAUCACUGUAAACAAAAAUAAAGACAAUGAAACAUACAAAUGCAUUUCAAAAACAAACACAACCCAUCAGAACUCAUGACCAAAUCAUAAACAAAAAAUUGAAAAUAAAUAUAAUUUCUUAUACAGAAAAUCAAUAACAAAAAUACACAAACAAAAAAUAUUUAAAACAGAGACGACACACAAAAAAUAAGGACACCUUCAUAUAUGAAAAACAAAAAAGAAGACACCAUGUUUCUCCAAGUACUAAUGUCCGACUUUCUGUGAGUAGAAGAGAAGACACCAUGUUUCUCCAAUUUAGUCAUUGGUGAAUGGGAAGUGAAACCAGUAGAGGAAAUGAGACCAAAAAAUAAAAGUAAGGGUUCUCAUGAUUCUUUUUGGUUCUCUAAAAAGGUUGGGUAAACAUAUACUAUCACUUUAGUCUAUCUAACUCACCCCCAACGUUGCAUGCAUCAUAGGUGUACAAGAUAACGUGUCAUGAAAUAACGUGCCACCGAGGCACACACGUUAUGUUUAAAGAAUUUCAAUUGAUGGAUGAAUAAAAUAAACAUUUUACACUUUUUGAGAUGUUUUUAAAAAUUUUAUAUUUUUAAAGAACUAAAUGAUACUGAGUCACAUUUUCACGUGUAAAAAUAACUAUUUAUCCUAAAAUUAAUGUUACACUCUUACUAUCUAUUGUGCCAAUUUGUAUUACAUUUGAUUGCUGUGCUGUGACGAAGGAAAACAAAUUUUGAUGGAACGCGCGUAGAUUAUUCUUUAUCAUUUCUAUUUCAACCAAUCUGACAAAUUAUUUUAUUUUCAGUUUCUUUCACUCUUUCUCAAUUCAAUCCUUUCUAAAUCCUCUAAGUAACAGUUUAACGUCACGAAGGUACUUGUUCCCCCAAGAAGUUUCCUUCAACUUUUACAAGCGCACCGAAGAAGACGUAAAAUUUGACCUUUUAAAAGCAAUUUUUAAUUUAAAUAUAAUAUAUAAUAUAACAGGACAAAAAAAGAAAAAGAAAAAAAAUGACAUCUGUUGUACUUUGACUUAAUUAUUAAUUUGUUUUUGAAAUUAUUUUAAAUGAUUCAAUUUUCAAAUCUUUAAAAAGUUUAAUUUAAUUUUGAAGUUUUUAAAAAUGAAUUAUUCCAUCUCUAAAUUUUUAAAAUGUUUAAUUUUGUUUUUAAGUUGUUAAAAAUUUGAAAAUUGAAUUAAUUCAUUUUUAAUAACUUAAGAAUUAAAUUAAAUUAAAUAUUUUAAAAAUUUAAUACCACAAUAAUUUAUUUUUAAAAAAUAAAAAAUAAAAUUGAAUAUUUUUAAAAUUUGAAAACCAAAUCGAUAAUUAAACCGUUUCAUUUGACAGCGUGUUGAAAACUGUCUACAGAUUAUAAGCUUAUUUUCAGCUCACUCUGUCUCCACUACGUUCGUCUCGUGUUGACUAAUGGUUACACUGCACGCCCUCUUGUAAAUCUACGCUACACCACUUAAUUGUUCCCGUAAAAGUAAAAAAGACUAUAAUAAAUAGAAGUAAUUAAAAAAGCCCUAUUAUCGUUAGUUAGGUUGAAAUUGAAAGCAAUAUAUAUAUAUAUAUAGAGAGAGAGAGAGAGAGCAGUGACUUAUGAAAUAUGAAUUAUGAAAGUCUGGUGUCGUUGAAAUCGAACGCAUUUAAUAAGCUCUAAAAUCAGUUGAGUUGUCGUUUCAUUGCUUUAUUUUUUUGGCAUUCAUUCAUACCCAACAACUUAACAACUCCUCCAACCCUCCUAGACCACGAAAAAACAAAAAAAGACAAGCGAUAAAUAUAGGGAAAGAAAGAAAAACCGAGGCUUUGCUCAAUUUCAGUGAAGAAAGUGAAAGAUGGGUAAUCGUUUCAUCUGCAUGACGAAGAAGGAGUCGAAAGAUGUUGGAUCGAGAAGCAAGAGAAUGGGUAGAUCACAGAGGAAGCUGGUGAGUGAGGAAGAGCUGCAUCUUCAGGCACUUUCUAUGGCACUUCAACAGCAUCAACUGUCUCAGAGGUUUGAAGGCUCCAUGUCUAGGAGAAUUGGCUCCUCCAGAAGGCACGCUGUCUCUGAAUCUUUUUCAGCCAACAAGCAGGUCUCUCUGUGUGUGUCUGUGCCUCUUUUGUUUAUUAUAUUAUAAUAUAUUUGCCAUGAUUUGUGGGUUUGGAUUGAAAAAAGUUUUUAUUUUUUGAAUCAUUUCAUCUGUGCCAAAAAGUGGGCUAUCAUGAUUAAGAUCUUUAUCUAUAUGGGUAGGGCCGUAGGGUGGAAGUGAAAAGUAGUGUUUUUGAAUUGAGUCAGUCAACAUAACAAGCCAUGGCUGAAAAGUGCACAUACAAAAGGAAAUCAAGGACUGCUUUUUUAUUUUUAUUUUUGUGGGGAAAAAAAGGGGGUUGUUCUUUUUUAUGCCUCAAAAGGUGCAUCUAGAAAAGUACAGGGGGCCAAUUCACUGUGCUUUGAAAAGCAGAUGUGAUUUGUUUGUGAUUAGUCGCAUGUAUCUUGUACUAGUUAUAACAUACCCCACUUCCUUGAGUCCACUAUAUGCUUAUUAUGCAUUUUGACCUCAGUUAUUCUUAAGCGUCAUGGGAAGAUUCUUUUCUUCCACCUUGUUAGGAGAGUCUACAACAUUUGUCUAAAGGGAAAAUUUGGCCUGCUUCAUGUUUGGAGCCAGAUUGUUUUGAGACUUUUGUUGAAAUCACGAUCUGAGCUGCUGCUGCUGCUGGUCUUAAUUAUGUUAGUACUUAUACAUUUGAAUUUUGCUAGUGAUUUAUUGUAAAUGAACUCCUCAUUUUAAGGGAUCUUUGGAAUGUUGUUUGAAUUUAUGCAUAUAAUUAAAAUUAAUAUAUACUUGUUGUAUGCAAAUGUUAGCUAGGACAUAAAAUGGAAAGGAAAUGUGUUAUCAGUUCUUAUGCCCCCUGUGUUUUUGUUUGAAAUGUUUUCCUGACUUGCCAGUAUGUCCUGUGCAGGUUCCAGUAAAUCUGGAGAACAUUAAAAUAAAGAAGUUUGUACUAAUCCAUGGAGAAGGUUUUGGAGCAUGGUGUUGGUACAAGACUGUUGCCCUUCUAGAAGAAGCAGGGCUGCUUCCUGUUGCCUUAGAUCUUACAGGCUCUGGAAUUGAUCUCACAGACACCAACAACGUCACUACAUUGGCAGAUUAUUCAAAACCUUUAACUGUUUAUCUGCAAAACCUUCCUGAGGAUGAACAGGUUUGGAUGUGUGAUAUUGAAUUGAAGCAUGUUAUUGUCCACCAUACUGCUAUAUUUCAUGAAGAUGGAAAUUUUGCAGGUUAUUCUUGUUGGUCAUAGCAUUGGUGGUGCAUGUAUUUCUUACGCAUUGGAACAUUAUCCACAGAAGAUCUCAAAAGCAACUUUCCUUUGUGCUACGAUGGUGUCUGAUGGCCAAAAACCUUUUGAUGUUUUUGCUGAAGAGGUAUCUAGUUAGUUUCUUAAUUUACUUAUGUGAUCAGUUGGAUUUUUGGGAGUUCAUAUGUGGUGAAUAUAAUCAAAACUUAAAUUAAUAACAAAAGUUUUCCAAGUUUGCAACCAUUUCUUAGCAAUUAUGUUAUGGGUCUUGCUAACUAGUGCCUUAGGGCAUAGGAGCUAAAAUAAGAAAGUAUUUAUUUGUAAAUCAUAGGAGAGCUUAAAAAAGAUCAUGGACAACACAAUUUUCCGUUUUUCAAUAAAAACAUUUGUACUUUAAGUUCCUUAACCAAUGCCUUUAGGGCACUAGUUAGCAUUUACCUUUAUAUUAUUAUGUGGAACAUAUAUUGCUCUUCAUCCUUUCAUGAGGGUUGUGCAACCUCAAAUAUUCUAUUUCUAGAGAAAAAAAUGUAAUUCUAUGGUGUUCUGUCCUGCUUUAAUUUUUGGAUAUAUUGCUUUUAGUGUAAUAUUUUAAUCUGUUAUUGGCUUAUUGCAAAUUUACUAUCACUUGACUGUUUUCAUUUUAAUAACUCUGAUUCUACGGCAUAAUUUGAAGUCUUGGCCAACUUUCCAGUGAAUCUUUUAUUGCUAUAUUGUGCCACUCAGCCUACUUCAUUUCAUGACUUUUCUGCCUUCUUACAUAAUUGUUUUUUUGGCAAAAUAAUACUUUUUUUUCUUAGCUAGAAUAGCAAAAACUUGGAAAGCUAAAUACAUAAGCUAUUGAACUAGCAAAAAAUGUAGCAGACUGUUCUGACAAAGCUAAAAGCACAUUCAAAUGUGUUCAUAAUUGGAGUUAUACUCAUAUUUUCUUACUGCAUAGACACUAAAAGUAAUAGCAGCCAAAGUAAAAGAUCUUUAUGUUGUAUUUUCAUUGCUGAAUGAACAUGUUUUAUUUAAUUUAUUAUUACUAUUAUUUUAAUUUUAUCUUGUUUUGCAUUUCCCUUGGAAGUUCUCACAAAUUAUCUACCUGCAGCUAGGGCCAGCUGAACGUUUUAUGCAAGAAUCUAAGUUUUUGAUCCAUGGGAAUGGUAAAGAAAAGCCCCCAACAGGAUUUAUGUUUGAGAAAGAGCAGAUGAAAGGGUUAUAUUUUAACCAAUCCCCGGCAAAGGUAUGCAGAGGAUUUAAGUCUAUUUCUAACUUUUUUUCCUCCUAAAUUUUAUAGCUGCUAUAUAUUGACUGCCCAUUCAAAUUAGCUACUUGAAGCUGUACACGACUUGUGCCCAUCUACCCUCAAUGAUAAUCAUAUCUUUUAUCUCCUUCAUUGUUACUCCACUUGCAAUCUCCUUGUUUAUAUAGAAGAUUUAUAAUGAGUACAAUUGAGUAACUGGCUGACUCUAGCCCCCUUGCUG